AACAACAACAACAAAGCCUUUUCCCACUAAGUGGGGUCGGCUAUAUGAAUCCUAGAACGCCAUUGCGCUCGGUUUUGUGUCAUGUCCUCCGUUAGAUCCAAGUACUCAAGUCUUUUCUUAGGGUCUCUUCCAAAGUUUUCCUAGGUCUUCCUCUACCCCUUUGGCCCUGAACCUCUGUCCCGUAGUCACAUUUUCGAACCGGAGCGUCAGUAGGCCUUCUUUGCACAUGUCCAAACCACCGAAACCGAUUUUCUCUCAUAUUUCCUUCAAUUUCGACUACUCCUACUUUACCUCGGAUAUCCUCAUUCCCAAUCUUAUCCUUUCUCGUGUGCCCACACAUCCCACGAAGCAUCCUCAUCUCCGCUACACCCAUUUUGUGUACGUGUUGAUGCUUCACCGCCCAACAUUCUGUGCCAUACAACAUCGCUGGCCUUAUUGCCGUCCUAUAAAAUUUUCCCUUGAGCUUAAGUGGCCUACGACGGUCACACAACACGCCGGAUGCACUCUUACACUUCAUCCAUCCAGCUUGUAUUCUAUGGUUGAGAUCUCCAUCUAAUUCUCCGUUCUCUUGCAAGAUAGAUCCUAGGUAGCGAAAACGGUCACUUUUUGUGAUCUUCGCUAGAUUGCUCCGGUCAUUAGUGUGGAUAAGUAUAUAAAUGGAUAGAGAUAGGAAAGCAAACACAAGAUGUACGUGGUUCACCCAGAUUGGCUACGUCCACGGAAUAGAGGAGUUCUCAUUAAUUGUGAAGGGUUUACACAAGUACAUAGGUUCAAGCUCUCCUUUAGUGAGUACAAGUGAAUGAUUUAGUACAAAUGACAUUAGAAAAUAUUGUGGGAGAAUGAUCUCGUAAUCACGAAACUUCUAAGUACCGGGGUGUGGUAUCGUCUUGACUUGCCUUAUUUGUCUCAUAUGUAGAUGUGGCAUCUUUUCUGGAAGUACUCUUCCUCCAUCCAGGGGUGGUAUCUUUAACUGGUGGAGAUGCACAAGGUAAUGUAUCAAUUUCACUUGAAGCUUACUUGUAGUUUCAGGCUUGGUCAAGCGCGAUACAAACCAUGUAGUAGGAGUCCCCCAAGUCGCCGAGCUAGGGGAUCUGCUGAAAGAGGUGACAGACAAGGUAAGCAAUCAGAGCUCCGGCUGAUUGUUCACAUUCUCCCUAUCUUGCAGGCAGCAUGAAGGACAAAGAGAAGAAAAAUGAGAAGAGAUGAUAUGGGAUACUUUUGCUUUUGAAGAAGUAACUUUCCACAGGCUUAUUCUUGAACUGGGCUGGAGGGUUUUCUGGUUUCCUCCAGAGUAUAAGGCCGACUGAAGAAUUUGAGGGUCAAAACAAGUCCAUCAAAUCUAGAGUACGUUUGACCCUGCUGAUAUGGGAUACUUUUGCUUUUGACAGAGUAGUGGAUGUAUCGGCACGUGUGCUAUUACGCUUGUCUCCACAUGCUUCUUUGUAUCCUUCUCACUUGCUCUAUCUGUUCAUCAGGCAGAUGCGGUAUCUUCCCUGGAAGCAUAAGAUGUUGAAGAUGAGUACUUGAGAGCAAUGCCAGGUAAGUACUCAGGUAAGGGGUUCCAGGCAGUCAGUUCCUGGCUGGAAGCUUGAUUCCAAGUGCUGACUGAUUGCUCUCUUUCUCCUUGUCUUGCAGGUAAGAACAAGGCCAAAGGAAAAGACAGGGAAAAAGCAUGAUAUGGGAUACUCUUGCUUUUAACCCUGAUGAUAUGAGAUAUUCUUGCUCUAGUAUAGCUUGUUUGCAGAGGUAUUAUCGGGGGGAAAGAAAGCUGAAUAUUUCGAAAGGCUUCGUUGGGAGUGCCCUCUCAGAUAAGAGGAAGGGUUGAGCAUUUUUGCAGGUCUGCCUGUCCGUUGGGGAUGGAGGUCGACAUAUAUAGGAGUCUCCCUAACAUCAAGUAAUAAUGCUAUUCCUUUACCCUGCUUGGUCAUAGCACGGUAGUGGGAGCUGUCAGCUUCACAUGUUUUAACUCUGUCAGAGCACUUUGAAAAAGUGGUCUGUGGUAUCUGGAAAGCUGAUGUUGUGUGUGAAGAUUACAGACAAGCUUUAUCCAAGGAGAUCCAGCUUUUGAAGUUGGAAAAGUGGUGCCUCUUCGGUUUUCGAACAAGCAAUCCUGUCGGGGAUCUGGCUCUCGAGAUUCAGAGAACGAUGCCUCUUCGAUUUUUGAGAAAACAAUCCUGCUGGGGGUCUGGCUCUCGAGAUUCGGAGAGCGGUGUCUCUUCGAUUUUUUAGAAAGUAAUCAUGUUGGGAGUCUGGCUCUCGAGAUUCGGAGGGCGGUGCCUCUUCGAUUUUGGAGCAAGUAAUCUUGUUGGGAGUGUUUUCUCGAAUGUGAGUAAAGGUUGGGCAUGUUUGCUAGUCUACAUUGCCACGAAGCACAGAGGUUGACACACAUGGACUUUCCAAUUAUCCAGCAGUGGUACUGUUCCUUUACCCUCUCUUCGAUUUUUGAGAAAGUAAUCAUGUUGGGAGUCUGGCUCUCAAGAUUCGGAGGGCGGUGCCUCUUCGAUUUUGGAGCAAGCAAUCUUGUUGGGAGUGUUUUCUCGAAUGUGAGUAAAGGUUGGGCAUGUUUGCUAGUCUACCUUGCCACGAAGCACAGAGGUUGACACACAGGGACUUUCCAAUUAUCCAGCAGUGGUACUGUUCCUUUACCCUCUCUUCGAUUUUUGAGAAAGUAAUCAUGUUGGAAGUCUGGCUCUCGAGAUUCGGAAGGCGGUGCCUCUUCGAUUUUGGAGCAAGCAAUCUUGUUGGGAGUGUUUUCUCGAAUGUGAGUAAAGGUUGGGCAUGUUUGCUAGUCUACUGUGCCACGAAGUACAGAGGUUGACACACCGGGACCUUCCAAUUAUCCAGCAGUGGUACUGUUCCUUUACCCUUGUGGGUAAUAAUAUGGUAGCUAGACCUUCAAAAUUUAUGUGUCUAAACUUUGUUAGUGUUGUUUCUUUGCUAUUCUUUUACCCUUCUUGGUCAGAGCGAUGUAGUGGGAGCUGCAAGCUUCACGUGUCUCAACUUUGUCAGAUAACUUUGGCAAAGUUAUCUGUGGUACCCAUGAGCUACUGUUGCGUGUGGGAAGUGGGUGAUUGAACAGUACGAUUCAUGUGCUUUCUACUUUACCAGAAAUCUUCGACAGAAUGCCCAUAAUUUCCGCAGAGCUGAGUGUGCGUGUGACAGGUGCUGACAAGGCUGGAAAAGUAUGUGCCUCUUCGAUUUCUGAGAUCGGCCCUCGUAGUCUCUGAGCAGCCCAGCUUUUGAGAAAGCAAGCCUCUUCGAUUUCUGAGAUAGGCCUUCGUGGUCUUUGAGCAGCCCAGCUUUUGAGAAAGCAAACGCCUCUUCGAUUUCUGAGCAGGCGCCUCUUCGAUUUCUGAAGCUUCGUCAAGUGCAGAUUUUUAUAGGGGCUGGCAUUAAGUUCCAAAGGACACUUGAAUCUCCACCAGUAGAAGCUCCAUUCUUGCACUUCUAAGAUCUUGAUUUGUCUGACCUCUUCUCUCUUCAACACCUUUGAAAAUGUCUGGCCCCUCCGACCGUCGUUUUGACUUGAACCUUGUUGAAGAGGCAGCCCCGCCUUCUCCAGACAACAUAUGGCGCCCAUCCUUCGUCUCCCCUACUGGUUCUCUUACCGUUGAGGAUUCCGUGAUGAAGAAUGAUAUGACCGCUGCGGUAGUGGCCAGGAACCUUCUCACUCCCAUAGAUAACAGACUACUUUCCAAACGGUCUGAUGAGUUGGCUGUUAAGGAUUCUCUGGCUCUCAGUGUUCAGUGUGCAGGUUCUGUGUCUAAUAUGGCCCAACGCCUAUUUGCUCGAACCCGCCAAGUUGAAUCAUUGGCGGCUGAAGUGAUGAGUCUCAAACAGGAGAUUAGAGGACUCAAGCAUGAGAAUAAACAGUUGCACCGGCUCGCACAUGACUAUGCUACAAACAUGAAGAGGAAGCUUGACCAGAUGAAGGAAUCUGAUGGUCAGGUUUUACUUGAUCAUCAGAGAUUUGUGGGUUUGUUCCAAAGGCAUUUAUUGCCUUCGUCUUCUGGGGCUGUACCGCGUAAUGAAGCUCCAAAUGAUCAACCUCUGAUGCCUCCUCCUUCUAGGGUUCUGUCCAGUACUGAGGCUCCGAAUGAUCCCCCUCCGAUGCCUUCUCUUUCUGGGGCUCUACCGACUGCUGAGACUUCUCCUAAACAACCUUUGUGAAGGCUCCCUCUUGUUUGUUUAUUUUGACUCAUGUAUAUGUACAUAUUUGUAACUUAUCAGGGCUAUCAAUAAAUAAGUUUUCCUUCAUUUCAACGUAUUAUGUUAAAUACACCAAAGCCUUCUUCGCUAAGUUCUUUGAAUUUUCUUUUGUUGAAGCUUGUAUGUUGAAGCUUUGUGAGUGGAGCAUGUAGGUUGAGGUAGUGUUCCCUUAAUUUCCCGAGUGAGGAAAACUUCUCGGUUGGAGACUUGGAAAAUCCAAGUCACUAAGUGGGAUCGGCUAUAUGAAUCUUAGAACGCCAUUGUGUUCUGUCCUGUGUCAUGUCCUCCGUUAGAUCCAAGUACUCUAAGUCUUUUCUUAGGGUCUCUUCCAAAGUUUUCCUAGGUCUUCCUCUACCCCUUCGGCCCUGAACCUCUGUCCCAUAGUCGCAUCUUCUAAUCGGAGCGUCAGUAGGCCUUCUUUGCACAUGUCCAAACCAUCGUAACCGAUUUUAUCUCAUCUUUCCUUCAAUUUCGGCUACUCCUACUUUACCUCGGAUAUCCUCAUUCCUAAUCUUAUCCUUUCUCGUGUGCCCACACAUCCAAUGAAGCAUCCUCAUCUCUGCUACACCCAUUUUGUGUACGUGUUGAUGCUUCACCGCCCAACAUUCUGUGCCAUACAGCAUCGCCGGCCUUAUUGCCGUCCUAUAAAAUUUUCCCUUGAGCUUCAGUGGCAUACGGCGGUCACACAAUACGCCGGAUGUACUCUUCCACUUCAUCCAUCCAGCUUGUAUUCUAUGGUUGAGAUCUCCAUCUAAUUCUCCGUUCUUUUGCAAGAUAGAUCCUAGGUAACGAAAACGGUCGCUCUUUGGUAUUUCUUGAUCUCCGAUCCUCACCCCUAACUCGUUUUGGCCUCCAUUUGCACUGAACUUGCACUCCAUAUAUUCUGUCUUUGAUCGGCUUAGGCGAAGACCUUUAGAUUCCAACACUUCUCUCCAAAGGUUAAGCUUUGCAUUUACCCCUUCCUGAGUUUCAUCUAUCAACACUAUAUCGUCUGCGAAAAGCAUACACCAAGGAAUAUCAUCUUGAAUAUGUCCUGUUAACUCAUCCAUUACCAACGCAAAAAGGUAAGGACUUAAGGAUGAGCCUUGAUGUAAUCCUACAGUUAUGGGAAAGCUUUCGGUUUGUUCUUCAUGAGUUCUUACGGCAGUCUUUGCUCCUUCAUACAUAUCCUUUAUAGCUUGGAUAUAUGCUACUCGUACUCCUUUCUUCUCUAAAAUCCUCCAAAGAAUGUCUCUUGGGACCCUAUCAUACGCUUUUUCCAAAUCUAUAAAGACCAUGUGUAAAUCCUUUUUCCCAUCUCUAUAUCUUUCCAUCAAUCUUCGUAAGAGAUAGAUUGCCUCCAUGGUUGAGCGCCCUGGCAUGAACCCGAAUUGGUUGUCCGAAAAAAAUAUAUAUGCAAUAAAAUACAUGUAUACAUCCAAAAUACACAUACACGGCCAAGCAUACACCUAUUUUUACUUGCCACACACCCCUUGUUAAUUUCAGUUUUUACAUCUUCUCCAGUUUAUUGCAUCCGAUGGCUUAAAAUUGAGAGGAGGGUAUGAAAAGCAAAAGGAAUAAUGUGUGUGUGUGUGUGUGUGUGUAUUAUGCACAUUUCAUCGCUUGCUUGUGACUUUUUUAGAGUAGGUGCUUCAGAUGAUCUCUGAAGAGCUUCCACUCGUUGAUUAUAAUCAGUUGCAAUGGCCGUUGCCGCGUUCAGGGGAUGCACGGAUUGGGACCAGAAGGUGGCACUGAACCUCUAGCCUGUGGCAGAAGCGCCGUCUUUGGAACAAAAGUCUUCGGCUUCAUCGUGCAGCCCAGAGGUCGAGCAGCAGCUGUUACAUGAUCAGAGGGUAAUUUGGCGGUCAAAAUGAUCAAGAGAAUAAGCAUCAAUAACUUCAUAGCGUGCAUGGUUUUAUAUGGUGACCGAAAAAUGAUGUCGAAUGUGCUUUCUCUCUAUGGAAAGAUGGAAGAUAAGGUGUGUGGAAUAAGCUUUCUUGUGCUGAAUUUAUAUAGAGAUUGAGUUAAGAACUACAAGUGGGACAUGAAUUCAACUUCGAAACUGCUAAGAAAAGGGGGGCUGACCGCAUGAAAGAUACACAAUUUGAGACAUUCUUAACGAACAAGUUAAGGAAAAAGGAAAAAUAAAAGGAAGCCAAAUUACACAAUUUAUGAGGAAAUUGUUGGAAUAGGAUCCUCUCCUGAUCCUCUUUGUGGGGAUCCGGAUGAUCAAUCAAUCGAGUUCGUUCAUCGUACAUCGUGCGUUUAGAAAUUAUUUUGAAUUUUUAAUUUUGAAUUUAAAAUUGAAUAUAAAUAGUACUUAAUGAAAUUAACCGUACGAUGUACGAUGAACGGACAUGAUUGAUUGAUCCCUAGAUCACCACAAACUGGAUCUGAAGAGGAUCCUCAUCCGAAAUUGUUUACAUUUUUUUAGCCCGCCACUUUGGUCAAAAGAAACCAAUUAUAUAUAUUAUAUUUGAGGAUUUUAAGGUAAAAGAGUCUCACAUUAUGAAAUGAAACAGAUUGAACUACUUCUAAUAUUGCCAAUUGAUUUUAUGGUGGAACCCUAACUUUCUUCAUAGAAUCAGAGCACGUGCUCCAUGUCACCCAAUUCUUGUUGUCCAAGUGUUUGACUUGAAAAUUCGCUAUACGUGAGGGGUCGUGUGAAGAUGUGAAGGUAAAAGAGUCUCAUAUCAGUGAAAGGAGAAACAUUAUGAGGGUUUAUAAGAAGUUAAAUUACUCUCCAUAUUGCCAAUUAGCUUUAAACUCCAACUUUCUUCAAUAUACAUAAGUGUUACCACACACUAGGAUUGUGUAUCUAAGUAUAGUGAUAGAUAUGUGUUUAUGUUGGAUUUAUCCAAUAUAAAUCAACCUUUAAGUGGUCUACUACAUGUAAUAGGAAUGUAAUAUUGGAGAAUAAUGUUAAUUGUGAUUUGAUCUCUUAAAAAUAUCAAUUCUAUAUAAGGUGUCUUAUAUUGGAAAUAUGAUUGAUGGAAUCCUUAAUAAUAUAUGAUUAUGAUAUUUUACUUGAGAGCCAAGAAAGGAGAGUUUUAGCUUUCCCUUAUGGAUGGAAUCUAAGACUUUUUGGCUAAUAUAUAAACACUGGUCCCUGCUAACCCUAGACACGACAACUAAGGCUUCCCAUAGAGCAUUGUCAUAAAGCUAGGAGUUUACAGAAGAGUUGGUGUUUUCUGUUUGUCACGGCAAACAUAAAGAUUGAAAUUUUAUCGAUCACGUCUUGAUUGCAUGGCUGCUACAUCUUCGACAACUGUCAUUGGAAUCAGGUCAGUCACUCAUUUGUUUGUGUUUUAAUUGUAUAACCUUGUAAGGCUAACAAUUGGUAUCAGAGCCACUGGUUAUAUGAUUAAAACCUAUUAAGUUUGAAGUUUGAUUAUAUAAUAUUUUCCUUUUUGGAUUGCGGUUUUGAUCUUAAAAUUCAAAUUGUGUUCCGGGUCGAUGAGGACUUCUUGAAUCAGACACAUCUGCGGUCAUGAACGAGAUCUACGCCCUGCAUUGGUUCAAGGACGUUCACGUGAGAACCGUCCGUGUAUUGGUCGGUAACCUUAUUCCAAACGUAGGCUUUUCUAAUUGAAGCACCUAAUGAUGAUAUCAAAUUAACUAUAAUAAAGGAAGAUUGAUAUAGUUGAUUCAUUAUUUUAUGGAAUUGUAUAAUUGGAAUACCAUGGUGCUUAACGUUUUCUAUUUCACAUAUGCAUCGCAUAUGAGAUCUUGAUGGAGGUGGGUUAAAGAGCGGAUAAAGCGCCGAGGCAUAAAAAAACACGGUCGUCAGUAUCAUGAACUCUGGCAUCGCAGUACACACGGUCACAUCUCCACUCUAAUUGGUUCCAAACCCCAAAGGCUGGAGUAGGACCCCCACCAAAUAUCAACCUAGCUAUUUGUGCAUUGAUGGUCUUAAACUUUAACUAACGGACGUUAAGUUACUUCCAAGACAUGUGUAGCCUUGCAGGGAAUCACAUAUUUUGCUAUCGGAUAUAUGAAACAUAAAUUGGUAAACUAAUCAUUGUUGAAUGGUAGGUUUUCAAGCACUUCAAGCUUUCUUUCUUGUAUUUAGUUCUCAUAAAGAAAGAUUGGAAUCGUUUGCUCAUCUUUACUGAAUUAAUUAUGACUGGAAGAAUAUGGCAUGUUUUAAACUUUCUAUUUCGAUAUUCAUGCCAAUGUUUUUGGUUGAAUUGAUUUAGUGGUAGAUACAACUAUUUUGGCUAACGUUGUUGUCAAUUUUGUAAGGAUAUACAAAUAUGUACUUCUGUAAUAAUGUUGUCAAGAAAGAAUAUGAAACAUCUCAAGUUAGCAAGCUCGGUAAAGUCUCCUAUCAAAGCAAACAAUUUUGAUCAUUAUAUGUGUCAAUUGCGAAUUAAUUAGUUGAUCAUGCAUAUGGUUAGUUUUGACUAUUAAGUUUUAAACUUGGUUAUCAAAACAAAGAGAAAAUAUAUGUUUUGAACAUGAUUAAUUCUUAUAUGCAUAUAAGUGGCAUAUAGAACGAGGGAAAAGUAGAAUUUUUAAGACAUGCCAAGAUGCAUGCAUAUAAAAGUGCAAAUCUAUCUUGUUUGUUUGCGGCUAAUUUUGUUAGUGCCACAUGAGAGCGAGCUUGCUGGAAUCAAAAUCUCCAACCGCAGGUUUAGGGCGGGUUAUUACUGCCACACGCGAGAACACCUGUGUGAGGUGGGUCCUGGGUGGACAGGCGACAAGGGGACACUAACCACCCUUCAAAUGCCUCACGGAUUAUUGCAGGUUCUGUUUUUGCAUUACAUGAUUAUGUGUAGUAAAUAUAUAGACUGAAUUGGAUAGCCAUGUCAUUGGUUGCUGUCGGAAAUAUCUAAUAUGGAUUCAAUUUUAAGUAUGCAAGCAUGGAGCAAAAUUGACAUAUGGCGUGUUUUAUUAAAAGGAUUGGGUUGUCCUAUAUUGCUUUAAGCUUGAGAUGAUCUUAUAUAAAGACACAAAUGUGUUGAUUAGUAAUGCAGUAUGCUAGCACUUAAGUAUGAUGGGGGAUUAAUUCAAGUACGGUUUAUAAUGAUAUUAACUCCAUACGGAAUUUGCAUGACUAAUCAAAUUAGUUUUGUCUACAAUUUUGCUUUCCUAUCUCAGUAUAGUCAUUUAAUUGUACAUGACUAAUGCAUAACUUAUGGAUUGACUGAGAAUGACAGAAAGCAUCCAAUGACAAGAAUGAGGGUAUAAUACAAGUGAAUAAGGUUUGUAGUAAUUAUGUGACAAUUCUCAUUUGUAUUUUUAUCUAUUCUUAUAUGAGAAUUUUGGUUGGUCAUGUGAUUAUAUAUAUGUUUACAAAGAAGUGAUGAACAUAUGAAGGCAUGAGGUAUGUAAUCCAUUCAAAGUAUGUGGCUUAAUUGAUAAGCAUGAAUUUCCAAACAUGUAUUAUUGUUUGUGGUUUUUCCUAUGCCUAAAGAAUUUAAACAGUGCUUUGAUUAGUAAAUUUUUAUGUGUCAUAAGGGGAGAAGAAAAUAAACUUUUCAAGGCUAAUGUAGGGCAUAUAUUGGAGAUGUUUUCUAUGGAAGAAAAGAAUUUUGGUUGUUCCUUUUAUUUAAUUUGGUAUUUACAAAGCUAAUGCAUGAUUUUAAUGCUAUGUUUAGUAGUUUUGUACUACGGAAAGAAAUAUAUAAAAGGAAAGGAACCCAUUUGAUAUAUAUUUGAGCGAUUUAGCUUUUAAAUUAAAGGAAUGUAUUGUUCUUUCCCAUUACAUAAAUAAUUUCUGUUUUAAGUAAUUGACUCCAUAAUGAUAAGUAUUGACAUUCGUGUGGUGGAAUAAAACUUGUUCUAUAUGUGAUUAAUCUCUUUCAAGUAUGCUGUCAGGUUUCUUGAGAUUAAUUUAAUGUCAAAGGGAGUCCUGAAGGAAUUAGUGCCAUUUGUUGGCAAGACUUGACGCUCGAAUCAGGUUAUCAUAAUUUUGUCACUUACAGUUGAUUAAUUCAUGUGACUUUUUGUAUUGUUUCAGGGCGAAGUUGAUAAAUGUCUUUUCAACUAAAGCAAGCCACAACGACUUAGUUGAUGAUGAGACUGUGUUUUUGAGUUACUUCAGUCAACUUUGCAUCUUAAUUAGAAUAAAAGGGAUAAUCUUCUUGCCUACAGGUGUGGAUUAUUUCUUUUAGUUUAAUUAAGAUGGCAUAGUAUGGGUUUUAUUUUACAAAAGUUGUGAAAAUCUUCAUCUUGCCUACAGGUGUUGAAGUUUUUCAUGAAGGUACUUUUGUGACAUAAAAUCUAGUACUAGAAACUAGUUAAUUUUCUUGCCUACAGGUGUAAAUUAAUUUAGUUUCAUGAAGUCUAUUGGGGACAAAGUUCCAUGCCAUCAGUUAAAAUAUUUCCACUAUGAGCCCAUAAUAGGUUGUGGUUUUAAGGCAUGGAAAUCGGUUGCAUCAUGACAUAUUUUAUCUCUUCAUGAGACUUGUUGAUGCAAAGUAUUGGACCCAUGAAAGUUAAUCAAGGAUUGCUAAGGUACACAUUUGUUUAAGUCUUAUGCUUGUAAAUCUUUUCAAUUGAAACUAUGAUGUCGGUUUAGAGGAUGAAUUUUGACUACUAAAGUUUCUUUUGGACAUCGAAAUUGAAAUGAUAUGAAAUUGAAUUUGUUAUGGAUGCAUAAAUUCAUGAUAGAUGCACAUAAUUGUUUCUGGCAGAUUGCGUGUCUUGAAUUAAAUCGGGUGAAUGACACGUCUAAUGGUCACCAAAUGACCUGAAUUUUGGAUAUGUUCAACAUAUAGAUGUCUACUAUUUGUCUGCAAAUUUUCGUAAUUUUCUGCCAUCUAUGUUAAUUAUGGUGAAUUUACUACUAACCCAUACUCGUAUAGACAGUUUUUACUGACAGAUUGUGUUGGUCUUUUUGAGACGUCACUUUAGACUACUAUUUUGACCCAAAAUAGCUCCAUAUUUUUAUUUUAUGAAUAUUAGUAUGUCUAUUUUGAUCAGUAUAAAUUUGGUAGCAAUCAAGCUUGUAAAUUAAUUAUGAUUAAUUCUAAAGUGAGUGUACCUUGCUACUGAAAUUCUGGUUGACAACUUUGUGUUGGUUGUAAUGUCUAUUUUAUUGUGUCUAAAAUAUAAAGCAAUUUUAUUUAGGUACAUUUUUGAAAGAGUGUUUGCCCAAGUGGGAGAAUUAGUGAACGAAAAUUGGGCUUCACACUCAUUAACUUAUUUGCAAGUAUAAACUCCGAGAACUUAGUGGGAGUUAUUCUAAAAUUGUGAGCAUUAAGUGGACUUGCAUGAAUCUAUUAAAGCAUUAUUCUAUCUUCAUGAAUUUGGGUUACUCGAAUAUCUAUAAUAUGUUUAAGUUACAUGCGUACAUUUUUCUGUUACUUGCAAUCAUUUGGAUUUCGGUUGAUCAUUUGUUUUGGGGCUCAUAAGGACUUAGCAUGAAUGUGAACUUAUUAAUACAUAUAAGAUGGUUGUUGGAUGCAUGUUUUGUGUAACAGCGGUGAAUGCUUUCAUUCUUUGUUGUACCUUUCAUUGAGGUAAUAUGCAUUCAUUGACUAAGUAAGGCUAUUCCCAAAGGCAUAUUUUCAAAAAUAUGAUUUAAGUAUUGAUUUGCAAAUUAAGUAAUGAUGUUGCAGAUCAGUGGGAGUUUGAGUUUAGUAAUGCCUUACAUUUGCAGAUGACCUAUAAGGUAUGUGUAGAAUCCAUGUAUUCAUUUUAAUCUCCAGUUGGAUUCAUUAAGUCACAUUUUUCGUGUGCUAGUCAAUUAUCUGAUGAAAUAUAUAUCGGAUAUCAAGUUGUUAUCAAAUUGCAUAUUAAAUGGCAUGGCAUGGUUUGUGCACUGCCUCAGUUGUGAGGAUUUCCAUCUUGCCCGCAGGUGUUGGAAAUCACUAUGAAAGUAACUGGUAUGGUGCAUAGAUCAAUGUCAAAAACAUAUUAAUUCAUCUUGCUCACAAGUGUUGAAUUAAUUUGUUUUAUGAAGUUUUGGGAUAUUUUACUUGGACAUGUGCCUAUUUGGUAUUUUCAGUUGUGUCCGUUGGCUACAAACAUUGUUUGUAUUGUUACUUAUCUAAUGAAAGUAACGCAUGACUGUUUUGGAGAUGUAUUCACACCUGCAGGUUAUGGUCGUUUCAUUAGAUGAAGGAUAUUUGCAUUGGCAAACUAAAGGCUUUGAAGAAGCAUAAAGUGUAACAUGUGUGUUACAAUAAGGUGGACCUGAGAUGAUAUAAAGUAAGACAUUUUGGUUAAUUUAAAGUUUCAUCUCUUGAUCAUAAUUUGUGUUUCAUGUAAAUGUGGAUCUUAGCAUGAGUGAUUAUGAAGGUUCUGGGUUGUGUCAACCCUACAACCUUGUUAAUUCCAUGUUAAGAAAUGCAUUUGACAGAAGCUACAUUAAGGACGAGAUGUAAUCACUGUUACAUGGCCACUAAAGUGACAUUAGUCUCCAAUCUCAAGUAUAAACGUGAAUAUUACAUUUUGUAGACCAAGUGGGAGAAUGUUGGAUUUAUCCAAUAUAAAUCAACCUUUAAGUGGUCUACUACAUGUAAUAGGAAUGUAAUAUUGGAGAAUAAUGUUAAUUGUGAUUUGAUCUCUUAAAAAUAUCAAUUCUAUAUAAGGUGUCUUAUAUUGGAAAUAUGAUUGAUGGAAUCCUUAAUAAUAUAUGAUUAUGAUAUUUUACUUGAGAGCCAAGAAAGGAGAGUUUUAGCUUUCCCUUAUGGAUGGAAUCUAAGACUUUUUGGCUAAUAUAUAAACACUGGUCCCUGCUAACCCUAGACACAACUAAGGCUUCCCAUAGAGCAUUGUCAUAAAGCUAGGAGUUUACAGAAGAGUUGGUGUUUUCUGUUUGUCACGGCAAACAUAAAGAUUGAAAUUUUAUCGAUCACGUCUUGAUUGCAUGGCUGCUACAUCUUCGACAACUGUCAUUGGAAUCAGGUCAGUCACUCAUUUGUUUGUGUUUUAAUUGUAUAACCUUGUAAGGCUAACAGUUUAACCUUAAUCUAGAGCGGUUGCUAGACAGAGUUUUCAUGCGCACUUUCGACCUAGGAGAGUUUUGCAAAGUAAUGUGAAGCAAUAAGACAAAAAGGAAAACAUAGGUCAUACGCAUAUACCAAAACUCAGUACACAUUGAUAUCUAUUUCGUUUUUAAAUUUGGGACUUUUGUAGAUAUGAAAAAAUAUAUAAGGAAAAAGAAUAAUAGAGAAGAAGUGGUGAGAGAAAAGAAUAAAUAAAAAUGGAUAAAUACGAAAUCUUAAAAGUGAAAAAGCUUAAAAUAGUUUUGAGUUUGAAUCAGUUUUCUUCUUGUGUAUGCUUCUAAAAAUUCAAAGAAAAAUGUAUUUCUUCCACAUUUUUGUACCCGUUGUUGUCUACUAUAUUCCUCUCUAUUUUUAACACAAAACUAAAAACUAAAAACUAAAAACGAAAAAACAGAAUGUAUUUCAUGCUCUCUAGUUACAACUUCAUACCAAUACACGUGAAAUUGAAAUUCACCUGCAAUGAGGUGUCGAUUUUUGUUGUUUUGUAUGAUUGCCAUUUUUCAUAGCACGCAAAAAUGUCAACCUACGUUUAUACGCGUUAUGAGCGCCGAAUCAGUUUAAUAGACGUGUGGCUUUUGUUUAAUUAUAAUGAGUGCUAAAAAGUAAAUUCGGACAAGUGGUCAUCUACCACAGUGGUGGAAAAGAGCGUUACCCUUACAUCACGAUGUGAGUUCGAACUUUGUCAGCUUCUUUAUCUAACAUCUAAUUUAACAAAUUUAUCGUCUGAAAAAAAAAAAUUGUAAACUCGGUUAUUUUUGUCGGGAAACCUUAUCCUGUUCAUGUUGACCUCACUGGCACAAUGUUUUUUGUUUGUUUUAAUUUGAUUUUGGCAUUUGGGCUUUUGAUUCCCUCACACAAAUGACACCCUUGCUAUGCGCUUUAUGAUAAUAGCGUGCGGGUUCGUUAAGAAGUUUUUUUAAAACGAUCUUAGUGAGUAUGUCUUGGAAAUUCAAAAGUAUUUGAAAUAUUUCUUUCAAGAAGCACCAAUUAUGUAUUUCUUGCAAGAAGCACUGCAAGUGUUUUUCUAAAAUUUAUUUGCAUUUUUACUUAAUUGAUUCCCUAUUUUUACUAAAAAUGUUUUCAGUUAAUUUAAAAGUACUCAGAAAAGAGUCUUUGUUUUCUAUGGUGACAUAGUGAUGAGCAAAGUGCUUACGCUGCAGAUUGUGUGAUGUUUUAUACAGAAACGGACGGAGGUUGAAACUCCUGGGAAAAAGGGCGCUGACUCAUUACACGAACCCAAUUGUCAAGUCAUAAUUUUAGAUAAUUAGAUGAAAUAAAAACUCAAUUUAUGCAACUUCCUUGCAAUUUGUUGGAAGUUUUUAACACUAGUUUGCAGGCCCCCGCUUUAAACGUUUUCCGUACAUCUAUAUUUGUUCACACACACACACACAUAUAUUAUAAAAGAAUGGAAAUAACUUCUUCUCUUCCAUUUUUUCUUCAAUAUACAUCGAUUUCUGUUUGGUUCUAGUUAUAUAUAAUUAGGUAAAUUAAGAAACAUAAAUAAACAAAGUGUAUAAAAAGAUAGGUAAAAAAAAUGUGCAAAAGUUAUACUUAGAUAAAUGAGUUAAUUAACUAGUGAGUGGUAGUUACGUAAGAUUUUUCUAUCCACAAUAUAAUUUAACGAAAUUGGGUUGAAAUCUACGUUUCUAUUAUAACAAAUAGUGAUGACAAAUCACUAAAAUAACAACAAUCAAUUAUAAAACAAACGAGGAAGAGGGAACGUAAUUUUGUUCGUGUUUGUUUCUUUAAACAUGGUUUUAGUAAAGCCAAUUUUAUGCCUGAUUCGCUUGCUAAUUUUGGUUAUUCGCAAAACUAUGAUUGUAUUGGGCUAGAUUUUGUUCCUCCUUUUGCUAGCCAAGCUUUAAUUUGGGACUCUCGUUGACGUAACAUUUGCCCGGAGACUUUGUGUUUUAAUUUAAUUUUCGCACUUGAGGAAAACAAAUGAGAAAAAGGGUACUCAAGUCAAAGCUCAGCGUGUUUAUAGAUAUAUAUAUUGUUGAAAAUGCUGGUGGGUGGUGAAUGCCCAGUGCAUUUGGUAAAGUUUUUAAUGCCCAUGAAAUUUGGAAUAGACUUUGGCAAUUAAGGAUGUCAUUUUUCAAAACAUGCGAUGUAAAUUUUUCAAACUAUAUGAACUUGUUUGUAUAGAGCUGCUCUAUAAAUAAAGCGCUCAUACUAUGGUUAAAGUAGAUAGAAAAACAUACAGCAGAAAACAGAAAGAAAGAAAUCUUUUCCUCCAUUUUUUAUUUGUUAUUCUCUUGUGCUAUCAUUUUCAGUGUGACAUUUUACACCUGCUUCAUUCCAUUUACUAAAAGGUUAUCUUUCUAACUUUGACAUAUUUAUAACACGUUAUCAGCACAAAUCUCUAAAAUAUAACUAUUUCUCAUUCCUCUUCGCCGAAUGCAAAUCAUUUCUCUUCGCCGAACAAAAGAAAAAAAAAAGUUUCCUCUAAGGUUUUUACUGUUCAUCUUCUUUCUCUGCCUCAACUGCUCAGUAUACCCUCGCAAUGAACUGUUUGCUCCAUGCCUGCUUCUAGUUCUCAACCUAACGGUUACAUACAUCUUUGAUUUCUUGUUUGAUAUAGAUAUUGAUUACUAACCCAGUAUUUAUUUAUGUUGAUUUUACUGCAAUCCAAGAUGGUGCGGUACAAUCGCCCAUCUUGAACUGCAAAUUUAAUCUUAUUGCCAUCCAAGAUGGUGUGGUAUCAUCGCCUAUCUUGGACUACAGAUUUAAUUUUACUGCAAAUUUUAGGUGGAGCGGUAUAAUCGCUCACCCUACCCUGCAUAUUUAAUUUGCCUGCAGUUUAAUUUCAUUGCAAUUUUAGGUGGUGCGGUAUAAUCACCCACACUGCUAUGCGUAUUUAAAUUUUUCUGCUACUUGAGUGGUGCGGUACAAUCGCCCUCCUCAUUCACCCUGAAAAUCUCAAUCCAGAAGUUUCAAGUGCUUAUCAUUUUGGCCUGAAGAUCAAAAUGAAAAAUUUGUAAGAACUAGAAGUUAUAACACUAUAUUCCUCCAGGAAUACAUAUUAUUGCAAGUUCUUACACAUCUCAUUUUCUUUCAGAAAAAAAGAAAAUGGCGAACUUGGCGAAGCUUGAUUAUGCUACCCUGGACAUUACCAGAAGAAUUACCUUACCUGGGUACUGGAUACCAAGAUCCAUGUGGAAGCAGGGAAUCUUGGAGAUACCAUCAAGGAAGAGAGCAACUCAUCCUCUUAAGAGCAGGCAAAGGCUAUGAUUUUUAUUCGUCGCCAUCUUGAUAAGGUACUAAAGAGUGAGUACUUAACAGUUGAAAAUCCGUUAACUCUUUGGAAUGCAUUGAGAAGCAGAUACAAUCACUAGACAACGGUGAUUCUUCCAAGAGCUCGCUAUGAAUGGACUCACCUAAAGAUCCAAGAUUUCAAGUCAGGGGCAGAAUACAAUUCUGCGUUGUUCAGAAUUACCUCUCAGCUGAAGCUCUGUGGGGAUACUAUUACUAAGGAAAAUUUGCUGGAAAAGACUUUCAGCACAUUUCAUGCCUCUAAAGUGCUCAUGUAGUAGCAGUAUAGAGCACGAGGCUUCACUGAAUACAACCAGCUCAUAUUUGUGCUCCUGGUAGCUGAACAGAAUAAUGAGCUCUAGAUGAAAAACCAUAAUUCCUGACCUACUGGAUUUGAACCAUUCCCAGAAGUGAAUGUUACUUCCCUCGAACUGAACGCCACAUCCUCUGGUGGCUAUAAUCAUAAACGAGGACGUGGCCACAAACAAGGUUGGUGGAACAGGAAAAGAAAGAACCAUGGUGGUCAGUUUCACAACUAGGUUCCGAGGCAUAAUUCAGGCCCGAGCUUUAAAAAUGUGAAUCGCCACAAAGGCAAAGCUCACAUGAACAAUGCUCCCAGGAACUCCAAAGGAGCCUGCCAUAGGUGUGGUGGCAAUGGGCAUUGGACGCAUACUUUUUAUACCCCAAACAUCUGGUGGAUCUGUAUCAAGCCUCCCUCAAGGAGAAGGGUGUCGAAACCAAUUUUCUCGACCAGGCUAAACCAAUGGAUAUACCUGAUCAAGUGUGUGACUUAUCAAGACAGUUGAACACAACCCACCUAGAUGUUUCAGACUUCAUUAUGGAAAGGGGGAAUGAAGUAUACCGGUCCGACUGAAUCGUUUAUGUUUGAUGUACUUUUGUUAUGCUGAACUUGUAGUUUAAAAUUGGCAUUUCAGAUUCAAUAAAAGUGGCAUGUAAAUUUCUUGUUAUAACUUGCUUUUAACUCUGAUUUCUUUACUCAGAAGGCAUGGAUAAAAACUAUGGUCAUUCUCAAAACAUGAGAAAUGGCGGAGACAUUUGUCUUGCAGACUGCGCAACUACGCAUACAAUACUUCGUGAUCGAAAGUAUUUCUUAAGCUUGAUACUUACAAGAAUAAGGGUAACAACAAUAUCAGGCAAAUAAGAUGUAAUUGAAGGCUCAGGGAAAGCCCAGAUUAUGUUACCAAAUGGAACAAUAUUGUCCAUACAGAAUGCGUUGUAUGCUACUCGAUCUACUCAAAAUUUGUUGAGUUUCAAAGACAUACGUUUAAAUGGAUACCACAUUGAAACGAAAAGUGUAGAAAAUGUGGAGUAUCUAUGUAUUACCUCCAAUGAUACCCAGAAGCGUAUAUUGGAGAAGUUGCGUGGUUUGUUGAGUGGAUUGUAUUAUACAUACAUAAAGACAAUUGAAUCACAUACUGUCAUGAACCAGAAGUUCAUUGAUUCAAAAGUUUACAUGCUUUGGCAUGACCGUCUGGGUCACCCAGGAUCUACCAUGAUGCGUAGAAUCAUUACCAACUCUAAUGGACAUCCAUUAUUGAGUAGGGACAUUGCUAUCACAAAUGAUAACCCUUGCAAAGCUUGUUCUCAAGGGAAGUUGGUAAUCAGACCAUCACAACUAAAGGUUGAUAUUGAAUCCCCAUCAUUUCUGCAAAGAGUACAAGGGGAUAUUUGUGAACCUAUUCAACCAUCUUGUGUUUGGUUGAUGCAUCUACCAUAUGGUCACAUGUUUGUCUAUUGUCUACUCGAAAUGUAGCUUUUGAGAGACUUCUUGCUCAGAUAACUAAGUUACGAGCACAGUUCCCAGAUUAUCCCAUUAAGUCAAUCCGACUUGAUAACGCUGGUGAAUUUACGUCUUAAACUUUUGAUGAUUAUUGCAUGACAUUGGGCAUUGAUGUUGAACACCCUAUUCCUCAUGUCCAUACUCAAAAUGGUUUGGUAGAAGCAUUGCUCAAGCGACUUCAGUAAUAGCUCGCACUCUACUUAUGAAAACCACAUUACCAGUUUCUGCAUUGGGACAUGCCAUCCUACAUGCUGCAUCAUUGGUUUGAUUGAGACCUAUAGCCAACCACCAAUACUCCUCAAUACAACUCGUGUUUGGACAUCAGCCAAACAUUUCACAUUUACGAGUUUUUGGUUGUGCUGUUUAUGUGCCUAUUGUACCCCCGCAACACACUAAAAUUGGACCUCAGCAUAGACUGGGAAUUUAUGUGGGUUUUGAUUCAUCAUCUAUCAUUAGAUAUUUGGAACCCUUGACAGGUGAUAUGUUUACAACUCAUUUUGCUGAUUGUCACUUUGAUGAGACGGUCUUCCCAUAAUCAGGGGGAGAAAAGACCGUUCCAGAAGAAUGGAAAGAGUUGACAUAGGUUGUUCCCACCUUGUCUCAUUUUGAUCCUCGAAGCAAAUAGAAUCGUUCAUCUUCAAAGCAUUUCCAAUCAAAUGCCAGAUGCAUUUAAUGAUGCUAUGAAAGUGACAAAAUCACAUAUACCAGCUGCAAAUGCACCUGCCAGAAUUGAUGUCCCUAUUGGACAAAAUAAAGUGGUAGCGAAUGAUUCAUCUGGUGCACGCUUGAAGCAUGGUAGACCUCAAGGUUCAAAAGAUUCAGCCUCUCGAAAGAGAAAGACAAGGGCACAGCUGAAUCCAAAUGAAAUCAUUCAGGAAGAGAGAAUGAAUGACAAAUCUACAAUUCAUGAUUUUGGACUUCCAGAAGAAGAAAAUAUCCUUGAUGAGACACAUGUCCCUGAAGAGACAGCAGUACAUGAGAGCAAAGAAAUCUCUAUAAAUUAUGCAUGUACUAAUGAAUUGUGGGAUCAGAAUGAAAUAAUCAUCGACGAUAUGUUCGCAUUCUCAGUAGCCACUGAAAUCAUAUUAAGUGAUGAUCUUGAGCCCCGCUCUGUUGAUGAGUGCAAACAGAGACAAGAUUGGCCUAAGUGGAAAGAUACAAUCCAGUCAGAAUUAAAUUCUUUGGAAAGGCAAAGUGUUUUUCAACCAGUAGUCCAAACCUCGCCUAGUGUAAACCCCGUGGGUUACAAAUGGGUAUUUACAAGGAAACGCAAUUAGAAAAAUGAGAUUGCAAGAUAUAAAGCACGACUCGUUGCACAAGGUUUUUCACAAAUACCUGGAAUUACUUAUGAGGAGACGUACUCUUCUGUAAUGGACGCAAUUACGUGGUAUAAUCGUCUCAGCGAGUAUUUGAUCAAAGAAUGAUACAUCAACAAUGUCAUUUGCCCUUGUGUGUUCAUUAAGAAAUCCAAUUCUAGAUUUGCUAUAGUGGCAGUUUACGUUGAUGAUAUGAACCUAGUUGGAAUUCCUGAAGAGCUCAAUAAAACUGCUGAAUAUCUGAAAAGCGAAUUUGAAAUGAAAGACCUUGGAAAAACAAAAUUUUGUCUCGGCCUGCAGAUCGAGCAUUGUGCUAGUGGAAUUUUGGUCCACCAAUCAGCUUACAUUGAAAAAAUUCUGAAGCGAUUUGGUAUGGACAAAGCUUAUCCACUAAGCACGCCAAUGGUCAUUCGUUCUUUGGACGUUAAGAAAGAUCCAUUCCAUCCAAAAAAAGAUGAUGAACUGGUCCUUGGUCCAGAAGUACCAUAUCUGAGUGCAAUAGGUGCUUUGUUGUAUUUAGCACUGCGAAAUCUCGUUUUUGGAUUUCACUGUUAUAAUCUACGUAUUUGCAUUAUUGAAAUUUUAUAUUAUUUUUCGAAAAUUUAUAUUAAUUUAUUGAAUUUAGAUUUCAAUUAAAUUAGUUACCAAGAGUGAAGUUUAGAAAAUAAUUAUUUAAAAUUUGUUGACCUUUCGAGGUCACAAGUAACGUUUUCGAAUAGAUCUUAACCACGAACGCAUAGGCGAAAGCCGUUUGCGAGUCCGGAUUAUAAUGGUAUAGUUAUGGCCAUUUGAAAUCAUUUACUAAACUAUAGUUUCAAUUAAUUAAAAUCCCACUUUGUGGGAAAGAGGCCCAAUCAUGUAAGAUUUAAGGUGGACCAAUUAGAAAAGAAAAAAAAAGGUGGACUUUGAGGGUAGCACAGGAGGAAGAAAAGAAAAAGGGGGCGGAAGAAAAAAAAAGAAAAGAAAAGGGGGACUUAGAGGACAGCACGGGAGGAAGAAAAGAAAAAGGAGGGAAGAAGAAAAAAAAAGGGAAGAGAGAAGGAAAAAGGGAGUUGCGAAAGAGAAGGGGAAAAGAACGUUCUUCCACGUUCUUCCGGGCUUUGCGAGGAAAGAAAAAGAAACAGGGAGGAGGUGGCUCUUCCAUAGCUGUUGAAAGAAAAUCCUUCUUUCUUCAGGCAAAAAUCAGAGAGAUAGGAGUUAGAGAACGUGAUUAUGAAGGAAGGAUUCAAAGAUUUAAAGGGUAAAUUCCUUGUUACUUCAUUAUCUUGAUUUUCGAAUUUAACUUUCUUAAGUUGAAUUGAAACUGCCAUGAUAUAUUGGAGUUCUUAAUUCUAUUUAGGGUUUCUAUCAUUCAAUGAACUAGUCUAAACAUGAAUUAAAGUUGGGUAUUUUGGAUUGGGCGUGUAGAUCAAAUUUCUUGAUUAAGGGUUUGGUUCAAAAGGUCAAUUUCUUGUUAAUUUUGAGUCAUGUUAGUUUUGGAUGUUGUAUACAUGACUUCUGGACUACCUGUAAAUUUCUUUGCAAAGAAAACUCAAGUUUCGAGUAGCCUUCUUUGGCUCUUAAUUUCUAGGCCUUUAUGUGCUCCUUUGGAGAAAAUUUUUAGUUUGUUGAAAGUACAUAUGUUCAUGGUCGUAACCCAAUUGUUUUCACUCAGAUAUGUUGAGUUUUGGUUGAUCAAAACCUUAUUUAAACUUGGGUCGCGAGCUGCCAAACAGCAGCAUAAAAUUGGGUGUCCAGUUUCAAGACUCUGUUUUACUUUUGGCAUAACUUCCAAUUUAGAGCUCCGUUUUCUACAAACUUUGUAUGCUUUUAAAGUACAGAACACAAGCUUCAAAACCCAUAUAAUAUUACAUGAUUUGGUUUAGUUUUGAAUGUUCCAAAGGGAGCCUAAACUUGGUCCAAUGGUGCUGUUUUCUGCAGAUUUUGUGGAGAAGCAGAGUACUGUUUUUGCCACACCUAGUUUCUUUCCAGAUUCCUAUCUAAUCUUAUUUACUACUAAUUUAGUGAUGGUAUUAAUAUCAUUUGUGGAUAUGACAUGGUUUUAUAAAUGUGUUUUCUAUUAAAUGUGAUUCUUUAUAAUUGGCCAUCGAUCUAUUUUUAUUAAAUGUGAUUCGAAUUGCAUAUUGAAAUGUGAAUUAUAUAUAUAUGCCAUAGACCCAUGUUAAUUAAAUGUGAAUUCUAUUGAAGUGUUAUUUUAUUUUUUGUCAUUGAUCUAUUUUCAUUAAGUAUGAUUUGACUUAUGCAUUGGAAAUAUGGUUUGUAUUGUAUGAUUGGAUUGAUGUGAUGAAAUGCAAGGGCUAGUAGUGGACCAUUAACCAUUGUUAUGGGGUUUGUUGCCUUCGAAACAUGUUUCAACCCUCGUGUCAUUAUUCAUCCUCGUUUCGUUGAGUCUUUGUACAUUGAGUAACUUGAUCCAUGUCUUGUUUUAUUGAUUGGUGUUACACAUUCUACUCCGCGAUUCUGUUGAAUGAUGAUCCAGAAUCGUAUUCUGGUUUGGAUUCCGUUAAGUGAUGGUCCGGAAUCCCUUCUACUCCACGAUUCCGUUGAGUGAUGAUCCGGAAUUGUAUCCUGGUUUGGAUUCCAUUGAGUGAUGGUCGGGAAUCCCUUCUACUCUGCAAUUCUGUUGAGUGAUAGUCUGGAAUCCCUUCUACUCCGUGAUUCCGUUGAGUGAUGUUUCGGAAUCGUAUCUAACUUGGGUUUCAUUUAGUGGUGGUUAUGCAUUGUCCUCCGCGAUUCCGUUGAGUGAUGGUCCGGAAUCAUAUCUACUUGGAUUCCGUUAAGGGCUAGUCCGGAAUCCCUCAGACUUCGUGAUUCUGUUAAGAGCUAGUUCGGAAUCCUUCAUACUUCGUGAUUCCACUGAGAGAUGGUUCGGGAUCGUGUUCACCUUGGAUUUUAUUGAGUUUGGAUCGAGAUAGCUUCAGAGAUGUAGGCUUCGGCCGAACUGUGUCGCUCUAGCCCUACUUUUCAUGGUGUUGUAUGAUAUUAUGAUUAUGAGCUGUUGUGAUUUGAUCCAGACGAACCGUUGGAUGUCUAGGUGACUCCUUCGGAGUUGUUAGAGUUCCUUGGUUAAAUUUGUGAAAUGAUAUGUUACUGCAUUCAUUGAUUAAACAAUUAAAUGCUAAGAUCAUGUAUCUUUGAUUCAUGAUUAAUUAAUUGAUGUGAUUGUGGAAUGACAUUGGGUAUGAUUGAGAUUAUUAUGAUUAGAGUAAUUGAUUAAUGUGACUUGAGAAUAACAUUGUGCUUCGUUGGUUCUUUGAUAUGUUACAUACUAUGAUUUGCGGUAGUAUGUGAAACAGAGUGAUUUAUAUGAUGGAUGAAUUGGAAAGUAUCUGUGUGAGAAUGGGUUACAUGCGUGUAUGAAAUAUGAUAAUUGUUGUUAACGUAUGGUUGAUGUGUAAUAUGGUAUGGUGCCUUAUGAUUUUCUGUUAGAAGUAUUUUAUGGAAAGAUUAGAGUUAACGAUUGUGGAACUACGAAUGGCUUGAUCCCUAUUGAGUGUACGUAGGCAGUCUAACGAGGAGGUUAGAUGCAGCCAUAAAGUAAACGAAAAAUUACUUUGCAAUUUGAUUCUCGAGUUGUGAUUUGCCAUAUUCCGAAGAUGGGGUAUGUAAGUUAUAUGAGUAAUUGGAGACGUUACGUGUCGAUCCUGGACGUAUGUCGAGAUCGGGGCUUGACAAGCACAAUGUACUAGACCAGAUAUAGCCUUUUCAGUCAACUUGUUAGCCAGGUAUAGCUCUGCUCCAACAAUCCGUCAUUGGAAUGGUGUCAAAGAUGUAUUGCGAUACCUUCGUGGGACAACAGACAUGGGUCUCUUCUACUUAAAGAACUCCACAAAUGACCAAGUCCUUAUUGGAUAUGCAGAUGCUGGUUUCCUCUCUGAUCUGCAUAAAGCCCGCUCACAAACUGGAUAUGUGUUCAAGAAUGGAGAUACAUCAAUCUCAUGGCGCUCGACAAAGCAAACAUUAGUUGCUACAUCUUCAAAUCAUUCAGAAAUAUUUGCUUUACAUGAAGCAAGUCGUGAAUGUUCUUGGUUAAGAACAAUGAUCCAUCAUAUUCGGAAUUCAUGUGGUCUACCUUCAAAGACAGACACUCCAACUGUCAUUCAUGAAGAUAAUGCAGCCUGUGUUGCCUAAAUGAAGGAAGGAUUCAUCAAGGGCGAUAAAACUAAACAUAUAUCUCCAAAGUUUUUCAGUGCACAUAAGCUUCAGAAGGCUAAAGUUAUUGAAGUCAGACAAAUCCUAUCUAAUGAAAAUCUAGCAGACUUGUUCACCAAGUCCCUACCAAAAUGCACGUUUAAGAAGUUAGUGCAAAGUAUCGGAUUACGUCGACUUACCAAAUAGCUAAAUUUGGAGAAUACGAAAUCAGGGGGAGCAUCCAUAAUACAUGCAUGUUGUACUCUUUUUCCUUCGAUUAGGAUUUUUUCCCACUGGGUUUUUCCUAUCAAGGUUUUAACGAGGCAACAUAAGCAUACUUAACACUAUAUCAACAAUCCAGGUAAAGUUGUACUCUUUUCCCUUCGCUAUGGUUUUUUCUCAUUGGGGUUUUCCAAGCAAGGUUCUAAUGAGGCAACUGAUGUUGAUAUGUGGGCAUCCAAGGGGGAGUGUUGAAAAUGCUGGUGGGUAGUGAAUGCCCACAAUGCAUUUGGUAAAGUUUUCAAUGCCCAUGAAAUUUGGAAUAGACUUUGGCAAUGAAGGAUGUCAUUUUUCAAAACAUGCGAUGUAAAUUUUUCAAACUGUAUGAACUUGUUUGUAUGGAGCCGCUCUAUAAAUAGAGCGCUCCUACUACGGUUAAAGUAGAUAGAAAAACAUACAGCAGAAAACAGAAAGAAAGAAAUCUCUUCCUCCAUCUUUUAUUUGUUAUUCUCUUGUGCUAUCAUUUUCAGUGUGACAUUUUACACCUGCUUCAUUCCAUUCACUAAAAGGUUAUCUUUCUAACUUUGACAUAUUUAUAACAUAUAUAUAUAUAUAUGUAAUGGAGUAUAAUUCUCUCUCCUCUUUUUUUCCCUUCCCUUCCUUUUUAUUUGAACAGUUAUAUAUAUAUAUAUAUGUAAUGGAGUAUAAUUCUCUCUCCUCUUUUUUUCCCUUCCCUUCCUUUUUAUUUGAACAGUUACGGUUAAGCCAUGUCAACAUCUUAUAUUAAUUUUUUAUAGCAAGAGAUAGAUACUUCUGAUUCUGAUCCUGAACAACGACUCAAACCUAAGCGGGCAGCCCCAACCAGGAAAAGUACAAGUGCCCAAACCUCCAAGUCUUCCAAAGCUACUUCUGCUUCAAAGACCUCUAUUGCUGCCGUGGGUAAGAAAAAACAAAAAGCCCUCAGUAAGUAUCUUUUCCCUCAAUCUUUCAUCCAUACCUUACGCUUGGGAACCAACGGUUUGGUCCUUUUUGUAAUCAAGACCUUCGGUAUCCAAAUAACCCUCUUUGGUUUUAAAGGACGCUCCAUUGGAUGUAGAAAAGCAGCGAAGGGCCAAAGAUUACCAGGAUGUGGUUCUUGGAGAAUUAGAGGUAUAGACUGCCCCUAUUUUCUUAGAAUUCUUCCCUCUUUUUCUUUUUCUGAUAUCUCUUUCACCCGAUUAUCUGUAUCAGGAGAUUCGGGCAGAAAAGAUCUCUCCGCCCGAAACCUUUUCUCCUUCCGCCCGAUCAAGGCAUGCCCCUUUUUUCCAAGCAAAACCCACUUCGUUAGAGUUGACUCCGAUCUUUCAAUUUGAUCAUUCAACCGGGCAGAUGAUGCACUAUGUGGAAGAUGACAGUGAUUCAGUGAGUUUUUGUUCCUAUCAUCCCAUGUUUAAAACUCUUUUUCUGUACUUACUAUCCUUCAUUUCUUUCAGCCUACCCUGGUACAAGAAUUUCAGCACGUACCAACUUCUACUUUUAGAGAGCCAAUAGUUCCUGAGAUCCAUGUAGUGUCUGAGGUGACUAAUCCACAGGUUUCUCAGGCACUCUUUACUAAUCCGCCCAAGGUUCCUGAGUUACAUGUUUCUCAACCUCAAUUUCCUCCACAAGUAUAUUUGUGAACUUCCCGUUUUUUCUCUUCUUUAGCUACUGGCCUUCACUUCUUCUUUUACUUUUGCAGGCUUCUGUUGAAGUCUUGGGUACUUCAUCUCCUACCCCAGUAGGUGAAGAUAACCCCCUCUAACAAUCACAAGAAAUUACUCCAUCUCCACCUCUUUCUAGAGCUCCGGGUUUAUUUCAGGUAUAUUGACUUUUUGUAUUUUAUCUUUUCCUGGCUUGGACAACCUCUCUCUUAUCAUUUAUGUCUUGUUUGCAAUAGGAUUCCGGAGAGGGCUCGGGCAAGUCUCAUCCACGCUUGGUGCGUAAAUGAGAUCUUCCACACCCUCAUUCGAUCUUCGAAGUUACAGAUGCUUCUAUCUCUAGGCCUGAACAGCGAGCCAAGACUAUUGUAGCAACUUCUUCCACUUCUGCUCCUGCUUCUUAGGACCAUCCCACUCCACCUCCUAAAGUUGUCCCUACUGUUAUGACUGAAAGUGUUAGAGAUUUGCCCCCGACUUCAUCAACAACAUCGUUGCCCGAUCUAAUGAAGAAGUUCGGUCAGACCAAAAACAAACUACAAUCUUCUCCAACAUCUUCUGAGCUUCCUUCAUUUCAGCGUGCUCGCAAUCUUUUCAAGGACUAGACAAAAAGAGGGUUCACAGCUUCUUUUAAUCUUAAGGUCCUUUAUGAUGCAGAAAAAGCCAUUUCUGAACUUCACCAAGCUGAGUUACUGCCCCCAGCUCAAUACAAGUCUUUUAUGAGUUUCUUCGAGAAUUUACGAGCAUUAAUGGAUUAGCAUCUUAAGGCAGAGCGAGCAUCUAAUAGAGUAAACUGCUUUCAAGAAAAGCAUGUGAAGAGUACAAUCGUGCUCCGACAAUUGGUAGAGAAUGAAUCAACAAUGGAAACAAGGAUUUUAGUGGUUGAUUCUGAAAUUCAGAGUUUGGAGGAACAACUUUCAUUAUUCAAGCUGAAAAGAUGACAUUCACCAACCAAUUCUCCCAGAAAGUAGAGGAGAUGGAGAAAGCCUCUUAAGAGGUUGAGGACUCUGAGAAUCAACUAGUAAAUAGCAAUAUGUACUUAGGAGAGCCAGAUAUAAUUUUUGCUGUUAUGCCAACUUACUUCUCUAGAAUAGUUGCUCUAGCCGAAGAUGUAAAUUUGUUGGGUUAAGAUUUCUGUAAUCCCCUUAUGAAAUGGAAUCUUCUUUAAUCCGCAUCCCUAUUUUUGAUUUUCAAUAGCAGAAGUUUCUUUCCUCCUUUCUAAUUUUUGAUCAACUUCUAGAUCAAUUAUGGUUUCUGUUGGGGAUACCUCUAUCUCAUGUCUCUGUUGGUAUUGAUUUGUACAAACAUCCACCCCUUUAUUACAGCUGUUUUGGACUUGUCGGGUAGUUAGAGAGCUCCCUCCAUAGGAUUAUUCAUCCUACUUUUGUCUCCCAAGUGGCUUUUUGCUUCUCCCUUCUGGCCCAUGUUAAGCUGAUCACGUUGAAUAGGGCUUUUGGGAAAAGAUCUGUGUCAAUCAUCAUGUUGGUAUGAGGUUUCUCUAAUAGCAACUUCCCUUUAACCAUGAGAUCUUGUAUCCAAUCUCUGAACUGGACACAAUUGGUGAUAGAGUGGUUGAAGGUGUGGUGCAACUUACAAUACUUUUUCCCCUUUAACUCCUCGUGUUUAGGUAGAUUCUUAGUACUGUCGGGCACAAUCACUCUUGCUCUUACUAGCUCCUCAUAUAUUUCUGCAGCUUUGGUUAAGUCAAAGGAAUAACUCUGGUAUUUUGGAGGUUUCAUGGGGAUAAAUCCUCCAUCAUUCAUCACUACCUUCUGAUCUUUAACCGGUUGGACCAAUCCUUUUACCAUCAAGGGUUUAAAGGGAGUGGUCAUCUCUGCCGCAUACAUGUCUAUUGCUUCUCUAAGUUCUCUCCCAUGACCAUCGUUUUCUUCUGGUCGUUCCUCAAACUCUACUUGGUGAAUGGCAGCUUUAUUUCGAUAGAAAGGUGGUGCUUUAGAGGAGUGUUUCAGUUGUUGGUCUUCAAGCAACAAUUUCUCAUAUUUGGUAGCAGCGAUCACCAACUCUUGCAGUUCAUUAAACUAUACAUCAUAAAACUUCUUUCUCAAGGGUAGACUUAAGGCUUUCUGAGCAAUAGCUAUAAGUUGGAUAUGGUUAAUGGGAAACUAGCAUCUCAUCCUUAUCCUUAUAAACCUCAUAAUGAAAUCUUCUAUAGAUUCAUGCUCAUAUUGUUUCACUUCGACUAGAUCGUUAAUGGUCAUUUCUGGCUCCAUCCUGUAAAACUGCUCAUGGAAAGUCAUCUCUAUUUGCCCCCACUUAGCGAUGGAAUUUGGGGGUAACAAAGAGUCCUAUUGAGAUGCUAAGCCUACGAACGAAUUCCCAAAUAACCUCAUCUUAUAAUUGGGAUUGUCUUCGAACGCCACACAAUGGUUGGAGAAUUUAAAGAUGUGAUCCCUGGAUGACACAUUAUUGUCCUUUCCACUGAACGUUGGGAAUGCGGGCAUUUUGAAGUUAAGAGGAAAGGGAUUUUGUUCAUCAAUGACCUCUGGGUAGGGCUUUUGAUAAGCAAUUCUAAAUAGUGGGCGAGCUUGUGGUUCGGCAUUCCUUACUACCAUUCUUCUUAAUUCAUCUAACUCAUCUCUAAGUUGUUGAUUGGUUGUAUUAUUAGGCGGAGUAUGAGGACGUGGUUCCCACUUCGGGCUACAAUCAUUGCCCGAGGUAUUCUCUUUCCUUGUGUCAGGCCUCCUCCAUUUAGGUUCUCCUCCCUUAUCAGUCAUUGGCGGCGGUCUAUAAGGAAGUGGUUUGUCUACCUUGGCGGGUUCUCCCUUCCUACUAGAUUCCCCAAUCAACUGAGGCAUCCCAUAUUUUGCUCUCUCUUGCCCGACCUGCCCCCUAUUAUUUAGUGAAAACAGGGGGUCGGGUAAUUCUGUUACCAGAAUUUCUUCCAAAACCAGAUGACUCGCUCUGGAUUCUUCCUUGUUCUUCCCUUUAUCCUUCUUUUCCUCAAAUAUAGGAAAUAGAGGAAUAAUUGGCUCCUUCACGAGACUGGCUUCAUUUGUCAUUGUCCUAGCAUGAUCAUUUUCUAAAGUAGGGUAUUCCAGAUCUAGCCUUUUUUGAAAAUUUCCUGUUAAGGAAUAGAGUCUGCUUAUGUCUUCCCUUGUCUUUCGGGAGUUUCCCUCCAUGCUCUGAGAGCUUCUUUCCAUGCUUUGGGAGUUUCUCUCCAUGCUUUUUAUAACAGCCAUCAUGGUGGCUUAUAGGUCUUUCUUUGUAACUUUUCUUUCUGACUUCUCAGAAUAAGUCGGGCUUUCUAUUAAGACGAGUCCUUGCAAGUCUUCGGGGAGAUUUUCCAUGCUGGAUCUUGGUGUGUAGUGGGGUGAUUUCUGUUUUGCUCCCCACCUGAAGGUUUGAUCCUUCCUUCGCCUUAUUGGCAUAUAAGAUGAGAUCCCACCGGGCAUGCCAAAACUAUGUUCGGGCAGGAAUAUCACUGGUGGGCGUUCCUGGUUCGAGCACACAGCUCCCUGAGGAGUUGGCACUUUGGUUGAUUGUCGGUCUCCUGCUCGUUACAAUGCUGCAAAAGGAGAACAAAGUUAGUUUCAAAAAUGUGCCUAUGCAAAGCCUUAGGUAUAGGCUUUGGAGGUUCACAAUCAAAACUAACAUUAAGUUCUUACGCGUGCCACUACCAUCUUUGUAUGGCAGAUGUAAAACAAGUGUAUUUAAGCUGAUUACUUGCGCCCCAAGUUACUCUGACUUCUUGUUAUCAAAUGAUUAUCGUAGAUGGGUUAAGUCUACAUUAAGUUCUGUUUUAUGCCUUGAGGUCAAGGACUUUUGUUCAUCUUGUAUGCUUUAAAGAGUGAAUAUCCAGAUAUGGCUGAAUUGUUUUAUUUCAAUAGUAAUGCCUAAAUGAUACGCUUUGAACCACUAAAAGACUGGAAAUAACUUGGAUAUAUAUCGAAUGAUGCAUGAUAAUACUAGAUCUAUUAGGUAAGGAACAAAACAAAGGGAAUCGAGCUAGAUUUAACCUUGUCGGGCAAGGUUGAAUCUUGUACACCGUCACUUCUUUGUAAGUACAAAGGUUUGGGGAGAAAAGGGAGUGAAUGAUGAGCAGGGUGAACAUAAGAGAAUCAAUACUACUAUGGUUGAAAAAGUAGCAGAGCUAUUAAAUUAGACAAAAGAUGGCUUUUGUGAGGGCUGAUCCUGAAAAUGAUUGAGGUUGGGGGCUGACUACAACUUCGUAGGCAAAUCUGGCUUAAGCAGAGUUUGUGUAGUUGUUUGUUUGAUUGGUUGAGUGUCCUUGUCUCUGGGCCUUCUUCCUCCUUUUAUAGCCGAAUUAUCCUGACUGCUUGCAACUUGGCUCCUGCCCGAAAGCAACUGAGGGGUAGUGACUCAUCAGUAAUUUACGUACUCUGCCAUUCAGAAAAUGCUUUUGGGCUGAGAGUAGGCUAAUUUCCAUCAAAUGUCAUUUCUUUCAAGCUACUAGCCUUUGCAUUUAAUGUGGAAUCAUCAUUUUGCCUUAGGCUGGGCGAAUGGAUAUGAUGCUUGUCCUUCGGGCAGAGUCAUGUCUUCUGGGCUUCCUUUUGGGCUUCUCUUCCUCCAACCCAAAAUUCAAAUAUUAACCCAAACAAUAAGCACUUGAAGUGCUUUUGAAACCACUAAACAUUUUCUUUAAAAACGUUUACAAUUAAAAAAACCCUAUAUUACAACUUCAUCCGAUACAAACUCUUAAUAUAUUGUAUAUAUUCUACUUUCGUUGAUAGUGAGAGUAAUCAAAUGCCUCUCUUUUUUUUCUUUUUUUCUUUUUUUUGCUACAAACAUAUGGUUUGCUACUCCCCUAUUAGUGAUGAUACACAUCUCUCUCAAAGAGAUACGGUUAACUAAAAGCUUACGUCGUACUAGAAUUAGAUCAAGUGACUGCACAAACGAAACUUGAAUAUUGCAAGGUGUACCUCUAGUUAAUGUUCUUAACAAUUUAUAAACUUCUUGUAAACCAAGAUCAAAUUUUACGGUGGUAAAGUUGUAGCAAUUCAUUCAUGAACAUUAAAGUACAUGGAACACCAUCGCAUAGUAUCGUGGCAGAUAUUAUUGAAUAUUAUAACACUUGUUAACCCUAAUAGCUCUCCUAACCAACACGAGGAACCUUAGUGACGACUCCGCGUUCAUUAAUCCAGACCCAGACCUUAUCGCACCCUCUGUCCCUGGUGGUCGCAGACCCUUCCAGUUACACGAUUGCCCGAACACCGUGAUUCUCUUGCUCUAUCUUUGCCGCCGCAUCUUUCCCAUUUUUUCCCACCAGCUCUGGCCAUGACUUACCUGCACCCACACAGACACACACAUAUAUAACAAAACAAAUAAAUAAACUCAUGAUGAAGUACCAGUAAUCCCACAAUUAUAGUAGUUUUACCUGGACACUCUGCCAUUCUAGCUUUUUUCUCACACACUGAUAUAUUUUGUGUUAUCAAACUUUUAUGGGUUGGUAUUUAUAGAUAGAUUGGAGGGCUUCAAGUUUGGUUCUAAAAGUUUCAAGCAUGCACGCAGUCGUGUCAAUGUAUAUAUGCCGAUGUGUUCGAAUGAUGACAAUAGCUAGAUCUAGAUGUCAAUCAAUUGUGCGAGGUAUGUUCAUAUGCCUUUCGUUCGUGCAUGUAAUGUUGUUGUGAUUUGUGCAUGUUUGUGUUAAAUAGCUCCAUAUCCACAUGCAAGCUCAUCCAAAAUCAAAUCAAAAGGUAUCAAAUUGAUAUUUACAUCUAAUUUGAGCGGCUCCGUUUGGAUUCUUCCCCAUCAUUUCUUUGGACUUUAUAUAGUUCAAGAAUUUUCGGGGGUUUAUUGCCACGCGCUGUUAGUGAUCUACAUCAAUGUUAUGAAUUUACUUAAAUUUAACAUUAAUAAUAUAACUUGGAUUCAUAAAAUAUUAAUUUUGUUGUUCAUUAUAUUAUAACAUUUUAUUAUUACUAUUUUUUUAAGGAAAUGACAUAUAUAUUUGAUCCAAUGUAAAGGGGAUGAUAUAAAAUUCACAUAUAUGAAUAACAUGACUCUUAUAUGGGUACUAUCUAAAAAUUAAAAAUGAUAAUCUCUAAUGUUGUAAGACUUACCAUGUAACACAUUCUGUGAAAAAUAUGAAAUUAAAAACAACCUUAAAUCACAUUAACAACAUUAGAACUCUGAAAAAUCUCAUAAAUUUAAGAAUCGCAUUAACAACACUAGAACUCGACAAAUCUGAGAAAUAAUUUAGACUUACCCAUGUAGCAUAUCCUGAGCAAGCUUCCAUAGUUCAUCACUGUUCUAAAAAUCUCCGCCUAACAUCGCCUAGACUUUGCCUAGGCGUUAAGUAGUUGGCCACUGUCCCGAUUAAUCCUUAGGUGUUUGAAAAUUAAGAAAGUGCACAUAGACCUACUUAGGCACCCACCUAGACCACGUAGGCGCUCGCCUAGCCUGUCCAGAAUCGCCUAGGUUGCGACUCUCACAUAGACAGAAAAUAGAUAACUUUCAUUUUGCUUUUAUUGUUUUAAGUAAAUGUUUUUAAUGAACACACAUUAUUGUUGCCGUGAGUAGUAUUAAAAAGGGCAUGUAAUUAUAUUGUAAAUAUUAGAAUCCUUUAUUAGGAAGGUUAGUUGUGUGUCUUUUUGUGUUUUCCUUAUAAAACAAGGAUUGUAUCUUGUAUAUAUAGUCUAUUUUGCAAUACAAUGAAAAUUAAGCCGUAAAAUUCAAUUUGGCAUCAGAGCCAAGCGUAACCCUAAAGUUCCCACCGUGCCGCUGCUACCGUAAAACCAGAAGAAAAAAAAUCUCUGCAAAUCUGUGAUCUCUGCUGCAACUUUGUAGCGAGUCAAGAUUGCCCGUGUGUGUAUUGUUGCUAUCGUGGGAAACAAGAAUCACAGCAGGUUUAGUUUUUUUGUCGCUGCCUACCUGCAUCAAGACCAGUUAUCGUGUAGUGUGUGUGCGCGCGUCGUGCAGUGUGCUUGUCGUGCAGUGUGUGUUUGUUCUGCAAUUGCUGGGAUAUAUGUCGUGUAAGAGCUACAGACAUGGAAGCUUUCUACUGCUGUCGUGAGUAAGUCAAACUGUGCAGCCGUGUGGUUUUUUGCUGCGAUUUCCUCUGCAGAAAAAAAAGGCUGAUGUGGUGUGGUGUUAUGAUUGUCGUGUAUUACUGUCUCGUGAGUUAUUAUAAUGACGAAUGCAGGUUGGAUUCUAGACUCGGGUGCAACCGAUCAUAUGACUUUUGAUAAGAAUUUAUUUACUAGUAUGACAACCAGUUCAUGAAAGUGUAUUGCAACUGCUACCGGAACAAUAACACCAGUUUUGGGGGCCGGCACUGUGAACCUCACGCUAGCCCUUCCCCUCCAUCACUGCCUACUUGUUCCCUCAUUGUCUCAUAAUUUGUUAUCUAUUCCUCAAGUUACUGAGCAAUUAGACUGUGUUGUACAUAUGUAUCCACUGUUUUGUUUGCUUUAGGAUAUUCAGACCAAGGAGAUAAUUGGGCAUGACACUAAGAGAGAGGGGUUAUAUUAUGUGGAGGACGUCGUUCCUGGCAGAGCUAAUGCAGUUUGAGCAUCCCGUACCAGUAAUUUACAUGAAGUUUGGUUAUUGCAUCGUCGGUUAGGACAUGCUUCGUUUGGGUAUUUAAGGCGUAUGUUGCCUAGUUUAUUUCAUGAAAUAAAAGAAUCAGACUUACAUUGUGAGGUAUGUAUUCUCGCGAAAAGUCAUCGCAUUUCGUUUCCUCCUAGUAUGAAUAAAAGAUUGUUUCCUUUUGAACUUGUGCACUCUGAUGUCUGGGGUCCCUCUCGUGUUAGUACUUUGUCUGGAAUUAAAUGGUUUGUUACCUUCGUUGAUGAUUGCACUCGUGUGACUUGGAUUUAUGUGAUGAAGAAUAAAAGUGAUGUGGGUAUGGUGUUUCGAUCAUUCUCUCAAAUGGUUGCAACACAAUAUUCCUCUGUUAUUAAGGUUUUCCGCUCUGAUAAUGGAGGUGAGUAUAUUGGUUCCGAGUUGUCCGGCUUUCUUCGGGAUCAAGGAAUUCUACAUGAGACUACUUGCCCUCAUACCCUACAACAAAAUGGGGUUGCUGAAAGAAAGAACCGUCAUAUCUUGGAAAUUGCUCGUGCCUUGCUCAUUGGUGCAUCUGUACCUAAACAGUUCUGGCCUGAAGUUGUCACCUAUGCCGUGUUUGUGAUUAACCGUAUGCCAUCCCGGGUUGUGGAUUUUCGUACACCUCUCCAAGUAUUGACAGAAUUUGUUCCAGUAGUGUCAACUAAUACUCUUUCUCCUCAUGUAUUUGGGUGUGUAGCCUAUGUUCAUAUUCAUAAGAUUCAUCGUAGUAAGCUCGAUGUUUUUCUGGGAUUUGCUCCUCAACAGAAAGGGUAUAAGUGCUACCACCCUGAAACUCGUCAUAUAUAUGUAACUAUGGAUGUUACCUUUUCCGAAUUUGAGUUCUUUUAUGCUUCGACUCCAUCACCUUCCGAUCACCCGGGGGAGAAUAUGAGUGGUGAUCUUGGGUGGUUGGAAAUAUGUAGCUCAGGGGGAGUAUUUAUUGACAAAAAAAACUAUGAAAGCUCUCGGCAAGACACUAUCGAGAAUGAAGACAGUGAAUUUCGACAAGACACUGCCGAGAAUGUGAGUAUCAUUCAGCCAAGUAGCACCGAACCAGUUGAGUCUUCUCGGCAAUGUGCUACAGAGUGUGAUGGAGAGUGUCAGUAGGAAGCUGCCGAACCAGUUUCACUGCUCCAGCAACCAUUAGCUACCGAACCCCCAACCCCCUCUCUCUCAAGCUCAAUAGUGCCACCCAAUAUGUCUUCUUUAAAUAUUCCUGAGGUAAGUACUACUAAUACUUAUGUAACUAAUCCAGAUAAUGUUAUGAGUACAUAUAAGUUGCCUCCAAGGAAAAAUUGUGGUGUUCCUCCUGACAGGUUUUCUCCUGAAGGAAAAGUGAAGUAUCCAAUAGCUAAUUAUGUGUCAUGCUCAAACCUUGCACCAGAACGUCAAGCCUGGGUAUAUAAGGUGGAAGCAAUCAAAGCACCAACCCGAGUUGAGGAAGCCUUGAAGGAUCCUAAAUGGGCUGCUGCGAUGGAUGAGGAAAUGAUGGCACUAUAUAAGAAUGAUACAUGGGAGGUAACGGAGCUACCUAAAGGAAAGAAACCAGUUGGGUGUAGAUGGGUCUUUACGAUCAAAUACAAGGCAGACGGAUCGGUAGACAGGUAUAAAGCAAGGUUAGUAGCAAAAGGUUAUACUCAAACUUAUGGUGUUGAUUAUCAGGGGAUUUUUUCUCCAGUAGCGAAGAUGAAUACAGUACGAGUUCUGUCUUUAGCUGCAAAUUUGAAUUGGCCACUAAAACAGUUUGAUGUAAAAAAUGCUUUUCUUCAUGGGCACUUGGAAGAAUAGGUAUAUAUGGAUUUUCCUCCAGGGUACUAUGCCGAAGGGAAAACCGGAGUAUGUAGGUUGCGAAAAUUACUCUGUAGACUUAAGCAAUCGCCUUGUGCGUGGUUUGGUAGAUUUACCCAAGUUAUGAGGCAGAUUGGGUAUUAUCAAAGUCACUCGGAUCAUACACUAUUUGUGAAACGGAGAAGUGGUAAAGUGACAGCCUUAAUUAUUUAUGUAGAUGAUAUGAUAAUAACAGGUGAUGAUUCAGAUGAAAUGGUCAAACUGGAGAAGGAUCUUUCUGCCGAGUUUGAGAUGAAGAGUUUAGGUGACUUGAAAUAUUUCCUUAGUUGCUCGUUCGUCCAGAGGUAUUUUCUUGUCUCAACGGAAAUAUGUUCUGGAUUUAUUGAAGGAAAUAGGGAUGCUUGGGUGUAAACCCGUGGAUACUCCCUUUGUGGAGAAACAUUACUUGGGAAUUUAUCCGGAUCAAGAACCAGUGGAUAAAGGCAGAUAUCAGAGACUGGUAGGAAGACUAAUUUACUUAGCACAUACCUGUCCGGAUAUAGCCUAUGCAGUAAGUGUGGUGAGUCAAUUUAUGCAUUCACCAAGUGUGGAUCAUAUGGCAGUUGUUAUGCGGAUUUUAGCUUAUUUGAAGUCGGCUCCAGGAAAAGGAAUUCUGUAUAAAAAUUCUGGUCAUCUGAGGAUUGAAGGAUUUACUGAUGUUGAUUGGGCAGGUGAUGUAACUGAUAGACAAUCUACUUCUUGAUAUUUUACGUUUGUUGGUGGAAAUCUGGUUACUUGGAGGAGCAAAAAGCAAAACGUGGUGUCAAGAUCGUCAGCUGAGUCCGAAUUCAGAGGAAUGGCACAUGGAAUAUGUGAAGUCCUUUGGUUACGUAAGUUACUUGAUGGUCUAGGUUUCAAAGUAAAGGAGGCGACAAGUUUGUAUUGUGAUAAUAAAUCUGCACGGGAGAUUGCAGAGAACCCGGUACAACAUGACAAAACAAAGCAUGUGGAGGUUAAUCGUCAUUUCAUUAAGGAGAAGCUGGAGAAAACAUUGUUUCAAUACCAUUUGUGAACUCGGAAGAGCAACUUGCGGAUAUCCUCACUCAUGCUGUUUGUAGUAGAUCUUUUGGUGACUCACUUGUUAAGUUGGGCAUGUAUGAUAUCUAUGCUCCAACUUGAGGAGGAGUGUUGCCGUGAGUAGUAUUAAAAAAGGACAUGUAAUUAUAUUGUAAAUAUUAGAAUCCUUUAUUAGGAAGGUUAGUUGUGUGUCUUUUUGUGUUUUCCUUAUAGAACAAUGAUUGUAUCUUGUAUAUAUAGUCUAUUUUGCAAUACAAUGAAAAUGAAGCCAUAAAAUUCAAUUAUUAUAUGGUUGUUCCCCAUAUUUUCAUGAAAUUAUGUAUUUUUAAGUAUAAGCAAACAUUUCAUUUAUACGAUAUAUAAUAAAUUUAUUUACAUCCACUUAGGUCUUGCCGCCACCUAAGCGCCAAGCCCCCAUCUGUCGUCAAACUAGUGCCUAGCGUACUUAAUAAACUUUCACUUUAUUGCUACAUUAAAGCUAAAGAAAUUUUUGGAACCACAAAUUUGGCUCAGUAAAACUUUAAAAUCCAGGCAGAGACCAAUAUCAGAGAUCCAAUUAUUUGAAAAGAGAUAUAGGCUUGUAGCUGAAAAAAAGGUUCUAAAUACUUGGGUUGAGAUCCUUUUCGAAUUCGUCUGUACCCUUUAAUCUUAGCCAUUCACAUAGAUAAUGUGGCCAGGAAUUUGUUUUAAUAUUUUUUUAGGGUGUGGCCUUUACACACUUAUUUUAAUUCACUCACACACUAAACUAUUAUUAAACAAUCAAAAAAUACAUGAGAGGUAAAAGUGGGUGGUAAAAAUCACCAAUUUUUUUAAGUUUUCCAUGCAAAACGAGGGACCCCUUAGUCUAUUUUCUGACAUCAGAAUGAACUAGCGCCUUCUUUUGGCCCAUGCAUUUCUCUUCAUCUUUCACUCUUUGGGGCAAGAAUUUUUCUAUGUACCCAAAGAAUGAGCUGAUAUACAAUGUGUUAUAAACAUAGUGGAGGGACACUAAAAAGUAUAUUCAUCCCUGUAUCAUGACAUAUAGUAUACCAACUCAUGUUCCGGACACACUAAAAAAUCUCUCUUUUUGUGCAAUGUGCAAAGACAACUUUGCUUCCAUUAAAUUAAAGGGUUAAUUGCAUUUUACACCACAAGGUUUGUAGUCAUUUGCAAAAUGAGUCACGAGAUUUCAAUCAUCGCAUAUUACACCAUGUGGUUACUGAAUUAGAUCAAUUUAACCUCUUCGUCAAUUUCAUCAUCUAAUUGGAUAUUUAAUGUUGAUGUGUGAUAGUAUGGGCUCGCCUUUGAAGCACAUGUUGACCAUCAAUUUCAUCGUUUAGUACUUUACUCUUUUAAUCUUGUAUGAAAAUGAAGGUCAACAUGUGGAGCGUCAGCAUUUGGAUUUGUUGUAUUGAAUGGAGAGUCGCAUGUAAUAACCCUUUUGAAGGCAGCUAAAACAGCAGAAAUCCGAAGGUCGCAACUGCAUAAGAGAGCGGGAACACCCUACAUCCAAAUCUACCAUCCUAAGAAGAAGACAUGGAGAUCUCUCAUAACAAAGUCACCUUUCCAUUACAGCUUGGAUUUCAAUACUGCAGCAAUGAGCACCAUUCGCUUGUGAAUCUUGAUUCUUAUUGCUUGUACUUGUGUUGUAUUGAUAAUUGUACCGAUUGAUGUGCAGCGCUGUCUAUAUUGGUUCAUCGGGGUCAUUGCUGCUAGCAUAUUUGUAUAGUCUUGAAUGUACAGCUAGCAGACCGAUACAAAUACCUCACCUGUUAGUAAAGCGGUAAUUAGAUAAGGUUGAAUACAUUUGAGUUUCAUAUAUUGUAUCAGUUCUUUUUCCAGAGAACAGAUAAGUAUGUGUGUGUGUGUGUGUGUGUGUGUGUGUGUGUGUGUGUGUGUGUAAUUAAGUCCUGUUGAAUACCUUUGUUGCUUGUGCACCAAUCAAUCUUUCCCCUUUUCGUGUUACAUCUAUAGUUGAUCUGUUUAUUAUGAUUUCCAAGUCCGGUUUCUGGGUUUGUAGCUUCAUCGAGUAUUUACUCCUCCGUACUUGAUACUUUACAACCAAGGACAGAAUCAGACUCUCAUUUUCCCCUCCCUUUUGAUAAGAGUAAGUAAAACGGUUUGUGUUAGAAACUCUAGCCGUUUUCCCAUCAAAUGAAGUCUUUUUGGAAAUUUCAACCAAAAAAAAAAAAAAAAAAAAAGAAUGUCGUGUAAUAAGUGAAGUCUUUUCAGAAGUUCCGACCAACUAAAAGAAAGGUGUAAAAGAGAUGCGCGGGCAAAACUUGAGACUAAAAUGCAGAAAAUCCAAGUAAAGAAACGUUUCCACCAAUUUUGAUGAGUUCCCCAAUUUUGUAAUACAUGACGAAGCGACUAGUGCGGCUAAAGAAGAACCGACUGGCCGUGAAGAAUGGGGCAUAAGUCCAAACUCAAACCAGAUACAGCGUUAAACCUCAACAUGUAUCGCAAGUUUCACUUUUAUACAUCUAUGGCUUCAAACUUGAGAUAUAGUAAAUUCAAGUCCUAACAUACAAUCACCAAGUCAACCCAAAAUAUUUUAUUAACAUUUCGGUCAAACGUUCGGGAGAAAAAGGAGAGAAUCUGCUUUCUUGCCGGAGAUACAUUCCUUUGUAUUAGUCGCACUCAUCAUGUAACAUGUAGACAUAAAAAGAUAUAUCUCUACAACACUCAUCACGUGACCUGUAAACAUAAGGAGAUAUCUAUGUUGUAGGUCUCGAAGUGAAGGCAUUGCAAGGUCCAUAGUAAGUGCAAAGAAGCAUACAUUGUGGGUCUGAUUUUGAUUUCUUUGUGCCCCAAAGUGCAUGCCAAUAAUAUAAUGAAAAAUUAUUUGCAAGACUUGUGCUAAUACAUGUAAGGAGAGAUUCCUACUUAAGAAAUUUGAAAAUUUUGCUUUGAAUACUACUAUCAUAGAUCAAACUCAUUUCUUCUGUUCUGACUCCUGAUCCAUUUAAAUUUUAAUGCUUUCCACAAUAGAAAAAGAGCACAUUCGUGCAUAUAAAUACCCAUAUAUCUAACCCUCCACAUAACACAUCCUUCAUAUUUUUAAGCUAGCUAUCUUUGUUUAAUAUCUAUAAGUAUAAGAUCAAUAGAUCACUAUGAGGUUUCUUAAUGUUAUAUUCACAGUUACAACAGUUGUAUUUCUCAUGAGCAUGAACUUGCAUGAGGCUAGUGCGGGCAGCGUGCUGCCUGAUGUGAACGGAAACUCAGUAAGGAUGAUGACGACGAUGAGCAAAGACAUCAUGCUGAUGGAGUCGAAGCAGAGGGCCGACCAUCCUCCUCCCGGUGGAUCUAAUCCGAAGGUCCCUGCUAUGUCGAAUGAUCUUGAUGGUGCAACGAUCAACCAGAGGAACUUUGCAGGCCACACAACUACUCCGCCUUCUCCACAUGAUGCAUACCCUCAUAAUGCCGUGGCUAGAUCACCACUCGGCGUGGCUACAGAUCAUAAAUCAUUUAGUUGAUUCACAAUAUCUACAGAAAUCCCAUCCUAAUAAGAUACAUCAAAUGUGAUAGAAAAUAAACGAAUAAGUAGAGGGGAAAAACCUAGUUUAAUUUUCACAUUUGUUUUCAUUAUACCUUUCCUUUAUCUGUGUUUCUUCUUGAAUAAAAAAAAUAGACGAAUUCUCAUACAACUAUCUUAUUUCUUCUUUAUGCAGUAUGAGUGUCGAGACUAUAUGAUAAAAAAAAAUUUGGUGGGAAUAAGACAUUUUAUUCAAACACCAUGAGAUGGUCCAAUUAACAGUUUAAAAUACUCCAUUUGAAAGUUAACAUAAGCGUUCGGAACAAAAGCAUUUUCAAAAGAUUCACUGCCCGAGCACUAUCAUGGGGCAAAACAAAGAAAUAAACAAAAACACAUACAAGUGUUUACAAUCAUAUCGUGGAAAUGUCAAGUUACACUUGAUACACUGCUGCAGUGAGCCUCGGUAAAAAACCACCACAUGAGACAAAUACACCUAUCCAUCUUUAGACUCAUCCAGUUAGGAAAAUACAGGUAUCUAUCUUUACACAUGAGACGAGAAACAAGUAUAGCGCAAGCUUUAGACUCAUCCAGACUAGGAAAAGGAACCUGAGACCUCUUCAAUCCUAUCUAUCUACCAGUGUAGCUUCUUGAACGAUCAUAAAACAUGUAAUGCUUUGCCGACCUCUCAUCUGCAUCCCACUGAAAUCCGAUGGAGUCCACCAUCACAACCAUUUUAACUUUCCCGCGUCCGCCUUAGGCAACUAACGAGAUUCAUAACACUCAUUUAAUGUUUACUGUGAAAAGGCAAAUGUUCGUCCAAGUAUAGAAUUGUUCGUGACAACCCAAAAUAACCUUGGUGCAACAACAUUCCGGUUAUAUACAUGAUCUGGGUGGAGCAGAAGGCAGUGAUCAAACCUAUACAAUUCAGAAGAUACUUAAGGCUAGCUAGGAAUUUGGGUUUUAAAUUUUUUCAGGUAAAUUAUUAAGAAGUCAAAUUAAAUACUCUUCCUUGAUCAAGUAACCUUUGCUUCAAAUUUUCAAUUACCAUGUUAUGUGUCGUCCGAUUAAUGUUUUUUUGAGAGACUUUAGGCAACGAAAUAUUUUUUUACGGGCAAAGUAACCUUAGUUGGGCAAAGGUUGCGCACCAAGGGGGAAAAUUGGCACAUAUUAUGCCACAUUUUGCGCGACGAAAAUUUGUUUGUUGGCAAACAUAUUCUCAUCUUCAAUUCCUUCGAUGAAUUUCGCAGUUUGCAAAAUUGACUUCAACAAUUCAACCAUCAAUGUAGUUGGUAGGUCUAUACUCAUGAGAUAUCAUAUGCCAACAUCAGCCAAAUGCAAGUUUCCGGGAUUAGGUUAGGAAACGAAAAACGUAUUGUAACACCCCACCCCCAUUUUAUUUAAAAAUGGUUUUUAAUUCUUAAUUGGUGUGCCCAAGGGGCCCACCUUCUGUUUUUGUGUCCCCCAUUCCCGUCACUCUUCCAUCUCUCUCAGCCCUCUUCGUUCUCUCACUCUCCCUCUCUCUCUCGACCUCACUCUUCCAUCCUCAUCGUCAAACCCACACACACACCCACCACCACAACCACCUAGCUACGACACCACCAUCACCUCUGGAACUUUCUUCUCUCUCUCCCCCGUCUCGGCGAAGCUCCAGGACACCCAGAGAACACCCAAGUCUCCCCCGACGACUCUGGCUACUUUCGAGGCAAUUUCCGCCAAACCACGGUGAGUUGGCCAGUGUACAAGGUAUCAAUCUUUUCGUCUCGUUGAGUACUACAACUUUCCUUUUUGUUUCACCCAAUUUCGUUGAGUAUUGAAGAAGUUAUACUCAUUUGAAUCUUACCUAGUUUCUGGCAACCUCCGCGGCGUUCGAGGCGUUUUCCAGCCAAACCACUGCGAGUUAGAUGUCUUGCGAGGUACCAUUAUCUUCGUCUCUUCGAUAACUACAACUUUUGUUUUUGUCUCACUUGAUUUCGUUGAGUUUUGACAAAGUUAUGGCCAUUUAAAGUUUGUGUAAAUUCUGGCCGAAUCCGGCCUUCUAUUUCGAAUGGGUCCGGCGACCCACAUUCUAGAAAACCCAAGCCUUUUAGGCCAUUUAGAACUGGGGCUUUAGGCCCGUUAGAUCUGAGCCCAACCUAAACCCAUUUUCCUUUUAUUUUGUUUUAAUUUUAAUUGUUUAAUUAUAAAGGCCUUUGGGCCAUGUUUAAAUUAGGGCCUUCGGCCCGUUCCCUUGUUGAACCCAGAAACCCUUAGGCUAAAAGCCUUUGGGCCUUUUGAACCAGGGCUUUAAGCCAUUUCCUCUUUAAGCCCUAAAACCUAGGGCCCUAACCCAAUAACCCUUUUAGUUAAAAAACUUAAGCCCAAACUACCUAAACCUAAACCUAACCCAAGUCCUAACCUUAAACCCUAGUCUGCCCAAAACCCUUUAUGGAGAAUAUUCCGUUAGGGAAUAUUCUAUUAGGGAAUAUUCUAUUGACGUUUAAGAAAUUUAUCCGGGACCCUUCUUAAGGUAAUUCAACGUCCUAAACCCGUUUCCGACGUCCGUUUUCCCAAAUUCAAUUGUUAUAAUAGGGUUUUAUUAAUUGGACCCCUUAUGUGCUUAGGGGCAAUUAUUGUGGCGUUUCCAUCUUCGCUAGUUUGCGUGGCUCUUCAGCGAUGAAGUAUCUGUGAGUGGACCCUUUCUAAAAAUGCAUGUUUUAAUAAUAGAAAUGCAUACAUGGAAAAGCAUGAUUUAACAAUUAUGUUCUAUGAGACGCUUCGAGAUAACAUGCUUAUUGAGGUUAGUUUGAAUUAUUACUAUUUUUCCUAUAACUUAUGUUCUUAUAGAGUAUUCGAUGGAUGAUGAUAUGAUAUUUAGAACAUGUUUCGAACACCUCUUUAUAGUAUAGAUGAUGGAUGACUUUAUACUAUGAAGUUGUUUUUUAAUAUAUAUAUGUUUAAUGGUUUUGUACUUACCUAGUGGUCAUUUCCGCUACGAGACAUAGGGAUAGAUUCCGGUCCGUCUCGGGCGAUGGUUUAGUGUUGGCAUAGGGCCUGGAGUGUGUUUCCUCUGGCUAUUAGCACAGAGACGGGGAGCCAGCAUGGGGCCUGAAUUGUAUUUUCCUUUGACUAUCUGCUUAGAGACGGGGAGCCAGCAUAGGGCAUGGGGGUUAUCGGAUAAUUCACUAGUGAUUAUUAUAUAUACAAGUUAUGAUUUGAAACAUUGCACGGCAUGCUAGGUUUCAGAAAACCAAUGUUUAUCAUGAUAUAUGUGUUUUCAUAAAACCUGGGGGUUAGUACGUUGAUAACUGUUUUACUAUUUAUAUAUCAAAUUGGUCCACUCAUGUUUGUUUUGCACCCCCUUCAGGACUUAGAAUUGAGGCAUACAAUCCCAGCAUCCAGGCACUUCCGCAUCGGUAUCUUCGAGUCCUUUCGAUGUAAGAUCCACUCUUGUGUUCAUUCAAUUUUUAUAUUAAUUCUUUUAGUGUUCUAGAUUAGAUGUGUGCUCUGAACACGUUCCUUAAAUGUAUAUUCCUUAUUAUUUUGCAUUUAUAAGUAUUAUCUAUCCCUUGUUUUUAGCAUUUGCACUCAAUAAAUGGCUUUCGUCACCCUCGGAUGUCGGCCAGCACGUGCAUAUCCUGGUAUUCGGGGAAUAUCGGGGUUGGUGUGUGUCACGUAUCAUUAUGAUUUAACGGUUAUUUUGGCUCUGAUUUUGAUGAUUGUUACAACUACCAGCCAGGAAGUAGGUUAAAGUGCAGAGAGUCUACAGAGGCUUGGCCUCGAAUCGGAUCAACCGCGUAAUGCAAAACAAGAUCGUGAUUGUUUACGACUCAUGACAUUGUCGAGCGGGCCUCAAAGUCAAUAACCAGUUGACUCACAACAUUAGAGUCAUCCUCCACUCCAAGCGCCCUAUAGUGGGCGCUUCAUGGAAUAAACUUCGCUCCUAGGUGUAGAAGGAGAUGAUGAGACAGAUCUCGGUAUGUGUGGAUUUUUUUUACUUUAUUAAUUUUACUUAUUCAAUGUAUUUUUUAAAUUAAUACACUUUUUUUUUCUAUUUCAUGUCAACUUCACCAUCAACAUGGAGUACCCGAUAUGUUUGAGUACUUAAACCGAGUGUGGACUGAACGAUACAAGGAGUGGAAAUACAAGUUACAUGUGUACUACAACACUUGUGCAUCUCUUAUUGAACCUCCUACCUCCAUUCUCGAGGUUUGCGGAGAGGUUAGCUGAGUAAUUAAGAAUUUAUAUAAUUAAGAAUUUAAAAAAAAAAUUAUUUCUAAUUUUCUGUUUUUUCAAAUUUAAUUUAUUUUUUAUUUAAUUUAUUUUUUAAAUUCACAUUGGAAAUCGGCGACAAAUAAGUCUAACCGAGAAGUGAAGCAGUACUUUUAUCACUCUGGUGCUCGAGCCCUCACUUUCUGGGUUGAGGAACAGCAAGAGAAGGGUUCGUGUUUUCCAGAAGUUUAGGCUUGGGGAAAAUGCAUGCCAAUUAUGGAAACCAAGUGACUCACAACAUUUAUGCAAGUAUUCCAUUCAAAAUUUUAAUUUCAACAUUCAUUACACUUAAAAUUUUUAAAUUCAUGAUCAAUAGUCUUAGUUUAUGCUUUUUUUUUGUAGGCUUCUAUGUCGUAGAAGAAGGAUAAGUAUCUCACCAACCUCUCGUAACAACAACCAGAUGAGUUGACACCUGAUCAAAAGGUGUCUAUAUAGUUGCUGAUGAACAAAGUUAGGCAACAGAAAGGCAAAGAGAUACGUGGGCUAGGAGUGGGUUGAGUUCAAGACCUUCAGGGGUCGAUCUUCUACAUCUAGGUCUCGGACCCCAUACAAGACAUCUUCCAGACUACAACAUAUAAAGAUGGAGUUAGUGGCCCUGUGCCAGCUAGGAAAGAAGAAUGAUAGCAAAAAGAAGUUGUGCAUUUGCAGGAAGAAGCUCGGGAAGAAACGGCACGCCAUCGAGGGGAAGAGUUUCGGCGAUACAUUGUGAGGAUGUCCUAGGCAAUGACAGCCCUUUACAUUCGCCUCCCCAAUCCUCCGAGCGACCUUCAGGCGCCAUCCCCACCAGCCAAUAUAAUUAAACUAAUUAAUUAUACCAAGACAAGCCCUAUGCGACUCAGCAUUUGGAUUUGUUGUAUUGGAUGGAGAGUUGCAUAUAAUAACCCUUUUGAAGGUAGUUGAAUUAGCAAAAAACCACAAGUCUCGACUGCAUAAGAGAGCAGAAACACUUCACAUCCAAAUCUACUAUCCAGAAAAGAAGACAUGGAGAUCUCUCAUAACAAAGUCACAUUUCCAUUACAACUUGGAUUUUAAUACUACAGUUAUGAGCACCAUUCGCUUAUGAAUCUUGAUUCUUAUUGCUUGUACUUGUGUUGAUUGAUAAACUCCCACUGACACUAGUACAAAAAUAUGUUUGCGCGACAUCAACUUGCACAACGAAACAAAUUUCGUCAUGCAAAGUAUGUUUGCGCAACGUAAAACACAAAACGUCGCCCAAACAGCCUUUGCGCAACGACACUUUGCACGACGAAGGCUAGCGUCGCGCAAAACAGCUUUGCUCGACGCUAGCCUUCGUCCCACAAAGUGCCGUUAUGCAAAGGCUGUUUGCAUGACGUUUUGUACGUCGCGCAAGAUUUUAACUCCAAACCAAGAAUGCUUUACCCUUUUUUCCCAACUUUGCGUGACGAAGGUGUGCAUUCGUCAUGCAAAACAGCUUUGCGUGAUGAAGACUACCGUCGCGCAAAGUUGUUUUGCACGACGAAUGUACACCUUCGUCGCGCAAAGUCAAUGACUUUGUGGUAUAACAUAAGAUUUUGUGGUAUCCACUUGUGUAAAUAUUUUAAAUUGACGAUCGAAUUAGUUCAUUGUAUUCAUAUAAGAUCAAGGAGUGUAGCUGUAAAAAAAUCAUCAAAAUCGGAGUUAAAACUACCGUUAAAUCAUGAUUUUUUGUUUAUAACAGUUGAAAAGGUUUGUCCCGUUACUUGAUAUCUAAAUGUUUGUUUUUUGCGAUUUUUAGCGUAUGCGAUCUCGAAGCAUUUACAAACAAUUUUUGAUGGUUCGAUCGUUUGAACUAGUUUCGUAGAAAACGUAUCCCAUCAAAACAAUAGAUUCACUAACACUUGGAGUUUAUUUAUACUUUCAUUAAGUAUAACAUAAAGAUUUUUUGGUAUCCAUUAGUGUAAAUAUUUUAAAUUGAAGAUCGAAUUAAUUCAUUGUAUUCAUAUAGGGUCAAGGAGUGUAACUAUAAAAAAUCAUCAAAAUCAGAGUUAAAACUACCUUUAAAUCGUGAUUUUUUGUUUAUAACUGUGGAAAAGUUUUGCCUGUUACUUGAUCUCUGAAUUUUUAUUUUUUGUGAUUUUUGGCUUAUGCGAUCUCAACAGAUAUACAAACAAGUUUGACAGUUGUAUCGUUUAAACUAGCUUCGUAGAAUGCGUAUCUCAUCAAAAUGAUAAUUUCACUAAAACUUGAGUUUAUUUAUACUUUCAUUAAGUAUAACGGAAAGAUUUUGUGGUAUCUACAAGUGUAAAUAUUUUAAAUUGAAGAUCAAAUUCAUUUGUUGUAUUCAUAUAGGGUCAAGAAGUGUAUCUGUAAAAAAAUCAUCAAAAUCAGAGUUAAAAUAACCGUUAAAUCGUGAUUAUUCAUUUAUAACCAUCGAAAAGUUUUGUCCCAUUACUUGAUCUCUAAAUAUUUGUUUUUUGGGAUUUUUUGCGUAUGCAAUCUCGAAAUAUAUACAAACAAGUUUGACGGUUUGAUCGUUGAAACUAAUUUCGUACAAUGUGUUUCCCAUCAAGUUCAAUGGUAUAUAUAUUUACUAAGUAGAUUUUAAUUUAUUUAUUUUGUACUCAUAAGCAAAAGGGAAAAAAAAAGAAAUUUGCACAACGUAGGUGAACCUGUGUCAUGCAAAGUUGUUUUGCACGACGCAGGUGCACCUACGUCGCGCAAAGUUUUUUUUUUUGUUUUUUUUGUUUUUGGCCUUUUGCUUUUCUUUUGGGGUUCUUACAUUUCCUUUUUCUUUUGUGGUAUUCACAUGUGUAAAUGUUUUAAAUUGACAAUCGAAUUAGUUCAUUGUAUUCAAAUAGGGUUAAAAAGUAUAACUGUAUAAAAUCAUUAAUAUCGGAGUAAAAUAACCGUUAAAUCUUGAUUUUUGGUUUAUAACCGUCGAAAAGUUUUGUCCUAUUACUUGAUCUCUGAAUGUUUGUUUUUUGCAAUUUUUAGCGCAUGCGAUCUCGAAAUAUAUACAAACUAGGGGUGGGUUGGAAAAACCGAAAACUGAAAAAAACCGGACCGAAAACCGAACCGAGGCCGAAAAAACCGAACCGAAAAAAAAAUUGAACCGAAUCUGGUUGGUUCGAUUUCGGUUUCUGGGGUUCGAAAACUGAACCGAACCGAACAUCUUCAAAACGACGUCGUUUUAUAAUAUUUUAUUAAUUAAUAACCCUAAGUCUAAAACGGCACCGUUUUAUUCCUAAACUAAAACUGGUUCCCGAAAGUAAACCAACCCUAGCCCUCCUCCUCUCUCGUUCUCUCUCUUGUUUUUCCCAAUCCCCUACCCUCCCCAAAUCGCAGUCGCACUUCGCACUUCGCACUUCGCACGCAGCCUCGCAGCAACCUCCUUCAUAUGUCUCUCUCUCUUAGCAGCAGCCCUCUCUUUGUCUCUCUCAUUCCCCCUUGCAGCAGCCUCACCUCAUAUGUCUCUCUCGCAGCAGCAUCCUCUCUGUCUGUCUUAGAGAUUCGCAGCAGCAUCCUCUCAAUCACAGCAAAAGGUUAGUUUCACUUUUAAUUUUCAAUUCUACUUAUACAGUUUUAGAGAUUUGAUUUGUAUUUUAGUGAAUAUAUUGAUUGAGUUGUAAUAACAGAUUGGGUAUUUUUAUGCUUCAUAAAGUAAUUGAAUUGAGUUCCCACGAUUGAUUGUGCUUCAGAUUGGGUAUUUUUAUGCUUCGGAAUGUCACUGGGGCACAUAGGUCAGAAAUUAAGUGAGCAAACUGUACCGUGUAGGCUUUAUGGUUUUUUUUAACUCAUAAAGUUGCAACUGCUGCAGAGGUAUCAAUUGAGUUCUAAAGUGAGGUAAAUGUGAAUUAAACCAAGGAUUUGAAGGCAACCUAUGAACCCAAGAAAUUAAUUAUUAAUUACUCACAAGAAAAAUAAUAAAGAAAUUAAGAGAAAAGAAGAACAUAUUUGUAUUGCUGAAAAUUUGUAUUUUUUUUUUUUUUGGAGGUGAAUUAAUUUGAUCUAAGACAUGUUAACAUGCACACUAGCAUUCUUGCUUCUUGGAACCCCUGUAGGCUUUAGCUAAAGCUAUAGAUAUAUAACAGACAUAGGUCAGAAAUGAAGUCUAGAAUUCCCAAAACUAACAUUUAGUCAAGGUGUGAAUUUGAGAGCUGGUAUCAACCAGAUUGCGCUUCUAAGCAUUGCUGUUGGCCUCCCGGUUUGUUCUCCCUCUCUCUCUCUCUCUCACACACACACCCACACACACACGUGCGCACAUAGCUGAAGCAUUUUGACUGAGUUUUUAUUAUAUAUAUAUAUAUAUAUAUAUAUAAUGGCUGCAGGUUGUGUAUGUGUGAUUCAGUUUUUAUUAUAUAUAUAUAUAUAUAUAUAUAUAUAUAUCAUGGUUGUAGGUUGUAUAUAUAUAAUGGCUGCAAGUUGUUUAUGUGUGUGUUUGAAACAAUAUCCCUAAUGAAGGGAGUUUGGCUACAGGUUAUAUAUAUUGUGAAGGGAGUUUGAUUCUUGCCUUCCAUAUUUUGUCGUGAUUUUGUAUCAUUGGCCUUUCAUAUUUUAAUUAACAUUUACUUUUGUAUAAGUUUGUAGUACUUACUAUCCUCUUAUUAUUUUGUUUGAAUUAGAUGAAGUCAAAGGUGUCAAAGGUCUCAAGGGCCUCAAGCUCAAGUUCAAACUCAAUGAGAUCAAAAUCAACUAGCCCUCAUCAUCAAACGAACUCAUCUUCGAGUAUACCAUCGGAAGUAAGUACUAAGUAGUCAUAUCUUUCUAUUACCUUAGCCCUUAUGUUUAAUAAUUAAUUCAUUAAUUGUAAUGAUAAGAGUGAGUAACCAACCAUAGCAAAAACCUACCAUACCCAUCUUAUUUGAAUAAUUAAUUGUAUGAUUCUCUUAUUUUAGAUGGACAUUGUUGGUGAAUCAACUCCGCCUCAAAACGCCGUGAUGGCACCUCGACAAACCCCUACUUCUCUUGGUGGAUCCGGAAAUCCCUCCGAUGCAACUCCAAAAGAAGGUGACGCAAGUGACCAAGUAAGUAAAGAAGAAGCUCUUUUGGAAUCAUUAAAAAGUCAUGAAAGGUCUUUAGUUUGGGAGCACUUUGAUAGAAAAAUUGAGGGUGGUAGAGUUAAGGGGUUGUGCAAGUAUUGUGCCCAAUCAUAUAUGGCCGAUCCGGAUAAAAAUUGUACAACUAAUUUAAGAAACCAUUUAGCAAGAUGUAGAAGCUACGGUCCUAAUAAGGAAAUAUUUGCCACAAAUAGGCAAAAUAUCUUAACCUUUGCCAGCACGAAAGAUAAGUUAGAAGCUAUAGGUUUUUCUCAAGAGGAAGUAACUAAGGCUUGUGUUGAGAUGAUAAUUAUAGAUGAGUUGCCUUUUACUUUUGUUGAGGGAGAAGGUUUUCGCCAUUUUUGCAUGCAAGCAUGUCCUAUAUGGAGAGUGCCUAGUCGUAAGACAAUUGCUAAGAAUGUACUUAGCUUGUUUUAUUCCGAAAGGGAUAAAUUGAAGAGUCAAUUGAAGACAUUUAGGGUGUGUCUAACAACGGAUACAUGGACUUCUAUUCAACAAACCAAUUACAUGGUUCUCACCGCCCAUUUUAUUAAUGAUGAUUGGAUAUUACAUAAAAAGAUUUUGAACUUUUGUGUCAUUCCAAAUCAUAAAGGAGAGUCCAUUGCUCAACUUUUGGAGGAAUGUUCAGUGGAGUAGGGUAUAGAGAAAGUGUUAACUAUUACAGUUGACAAUGCUUCCGCAAAUGAUUCCAGUUUAAGGGACUUGGUGCACCGAAUAAGGGGGUGGGGGAUUCCUAAUGCACUCUUGCAUGAUGGAAAAUAUUUGCAUAUGAGGUGUGUUGCUCAUAUCCUCAAUUUGGUUGUGAAUGAUGGCAUAAAAUUGUUGAAUACGGCUAUACAAAGUAUUCGUAAUGCGGUUAGGUAUGUAAGAUCUUCCCCUCCAAGGUUAGAAAGCUUUAAAAGGUGUGUUCAGAAAGUGAGAAUAGAUAGCAAAGGGCUUGUAAUUUUGGAUAUCCCUACUAGAUGGAAUUCCACAUUUUUAAUGUUGGAAUCGGCUUUAAAGUUUAAGAUGGCUUUUGAUAGAUUAAAAGUAGAUGAUGGUCAUUACCUUCCAUACUUUGUUAAAGACAAUCAUGAUAGUACGAGGGAGGGGCCACCUUCGAUGGAUGAUUGGAGUGAGGCGGGGAUAUUUGCAAUCUUUUUUAGACCUUUUUAUGAAGUCACUUUAAAAGUAUGUUGUUCUAAUACUCCAACCGUUCAUACUACUUUUGGUGAUUUGUUUAAGAUCAAAAGUCUCUUGCAUGAAAGGAAAAAUGAUGAACUUUUAUAUGAUCUCCAUGUUGAUGCAAGAAAAAUAUGACAAGUAUUGGGGUUCAAUUGAGGACAUGAAUCAAUAUCUUUUUAUUGCACUUGUGCUUGAUCCUCGCCACAAAUUAGAGAAAGUUGUUGAUUAUUUUGAGAUACAAUUUGGUGAGGAUGAAGAAAAAAUUGAAAGUGCCACAAAUGCGGUGAAGGACUUAUUGAUUGAUCUUUACAAGAUUCAUGAAGAUAUGUCUUUUAGUACACAACAAAAUAUAAGUAGUAGUGGUAGUUCUCAAACAACAAGUGGAGACUCUUCAUCAAGCAUGACCGAAAUAGAAAGAAAGUUGAAAGAAAAAAGUGAAAUGAGAAAAGUAAAGAGAGCUCGGGUUGUGCAUAAUGAUGUCGACAAGUAUCUUUCUGAUCCUAAUGAAGGAGAAGAAGAGGAGAACUUUGAUAAAUUGAAUUGGUGGAGGGUGAAUGGGGUUUCUAAGUACCCUAUUUUGGCACGUGUUGCAAGAGAUAUCUUAGCUAUUUCCGUAUCAACCAUUGCUUCGGAAUCUUCCUUUAGCACAAGUGGACGGAUAAUUGAUCCAUAUCGUAGUUCUUUAAGUCCAAAAAUGGUGGAGGCUUUGAUAUGUACUCAAAAUUGGCUUAGGUCUAUUCACGUUGCAUUACAUCAUGAGCCAACCAUUGAGGAGAUGGAGUUUUGUGAAGAAAUUGAGAAAGGUAAUUUUAUUUAUUGCAUUUGAUUUUGUUAGAUUAUUUUAAAUAACAUUUUAAUUAGUAUCAUUUGUUUUAUUAUUUGUAUGUAGAAAUGGCAAGUGAAAGUUCAAAAAAAGGUGUUAUGUUACCCCCUAGGCCGCCCAACCGUUAGUAAGCAAAUUAGCAUUCAAACUCGAAAUGGUUAAGCGUUGAUCUUAAGAACUUGAAGAAGUAUGUGCAAGGAUGGAACUUUAGAUGUUUAUUGAAUUUAUAAUCUUAGUUGUAAUGUUUAUUUAGGUGUGGAAGACUUCUUGAACUUUGCAAUGUUUAUUUUAGGUGUGGAAAACUUGAACUUUGAUGUGUAUUUUAAGUUUGGACUUUGAUUUGAACUUUGAUGUUUAUUUAACUUGGACUUUGGAAGGCUUGAUUAUAAUUGAACUUUGAAUGGAAUGUUUAUUUUCAUUAUCUUUGUUAGUUUGUUUGAUGAUUCUAUUAGAAAUUUGGAAUGCUUAUGUUGAAAUGAGACUUUGAUUUUAUUUAUACUCCUUUAAAAGAUGUAUUACAAAAUGGCUGCAAGUUGUUUUCUUAGAAACUUUUUUUUUUUUGCUGCUGAAAAAAAAAAAAUCGAACCGGGCUGAAACCGAACCGAACAGUAAUUUCGGUUCGGUUUCCGGUUUUGGCAAAAUACCGAACCGAACGGAACCGAACCCACCCCUAAUACAAACCAGUUUGACGGUUGGAUCGUUGAAACUAAUUUUGUACAAUGCGUUUCCCAUCAAGUUCAAUGGUAUAUAUAUUUACUAAGUAGAUUUUUAUUUAUUUAUUUUGUACUCAUAAGCAAAAAAAAUAAAAAAUAAAAAUAAAAAAAAAAAACUUUGCUCGACGUAAGUCUUUGUCGCACAAAGAUGUUUUGCGCGGCACAUGUGUACCUACGGCGUGCAAAGUUUUUUUUUCCUUUUACUUUUCUUUUGGGGUUCUUGCAUUGCAUUUUUCUUUUGUGGUAUCCACUUGUGUGAAUGUUUGUUCUUGCAUCAAAAUCGGAGUUAAUAUAACCGUUAAAUCGUGAUUAUUCGUUUAUAACCAUCUAAAAGGUUUGUCCCGUUAUUUGAUAUCUGAAUGUUUGUUUUUUGCGAUUUUUGGCGUAUGCAAUCUUGAAGCAUAUACAAACAAGUUUGAUGGUUGGAUCGUUGAAACUAGUUUCGUAGAAUGCGUAUCCCAUCAAAACAAUAGAUUCACUAAUACUAAGAGUUUAUUUAUACUUUCACUCAGUAUAACAUAAGAUUUUGUGAUAUCCACUAGCGUAAAUAUUUUAAAUUGACGAUCGAAUUAGUUCAUUGUAUUCAUAUAGGAUGAAGGAGUGUAGUUGUAAAAAAUCAUUAAAAUCAAAGUUAAAACUACCGUUAAAUCAUAAUUUUUCAUUUAUAGCCGUUGAAAAUGUUUGUCCCGUUACUUGAUAUCUGAAUGUUUGUUUUUUGCUAUUUUUGGCGUAUGCGAUCUCGAAGCAUAUACAAACAAGUGUGACAGUUGGAUCGUUGAAAUUAGUUUCGUACAAUGCGUUUCCCAUCAAAACGAUAGAUUCACUAACACUAAGAGUUUAUUUAUACUUUCAUUAAGUAUAACAUAAGAUUUUGUGGUAUCCACUUGUGUAAAUAUUUUAAAUUGACGAUCGAAUUAGUUCAUUGAAUUCAUAUAGGGUUAAAGAGUGUAGCUGUAAAAAAUCAUCAAAAUCGGAGUUAAAAUAACUGUUAAAUCGUAAUUUUUCGUUUAUAACCGUCGAAAAGUUUUGUCCCGUUACUUGAUCUCUGCAUGUUUGUUUUUUGCAAUUUUUCGCGUAUGCGAUCUCGAAGUAUAUAUAAACAAGUUUGACGGUUGGAUAGUUGAAAUUAGUUAUAUAGAAUGCGUAUCCCAUCAAAAACAAUAGAUGCACUAACACUUGGUGUAUAUUUAUACUUUCAUUAAGUAUAACAUAAGAUUUUGUAGUAUCCACUUGUGUAAUUAUUUUAAAUCGACGAUUGAAUUAGUUCAUUGUAUUCAUAUAGGGUCAAGGAGUGUAGCUAUAAAAUAUCAUCAAAAUCAGAGUUAAAAUAACCGUUAAAUUUUGAUUUUUCGUUUAUAAUCGUCGAAAAGUUUUGUCCCGUUACUUAAUCUCUGAAUGUUUGUUUUUUGCGAUUUUUGCUGUAUGCGAUCUCAAAGUAUAUACAAGCAAGUUUGAUGGUUUGAUCGUUGAAACUAGUUUCGUAGAAUGCGUAUCCCAUCAAGUUGAAUGAUGUGUGUGUGUAUAUAUAUAUAUAUAUAUUUAUUUAUUUAUUAAGUAACUUUAAAUUUAUUUAUUUUGUAUUAUAAUAUUUAAGAAAUUGAAUGAAAUGAAUAUUUAUUAAAUAGCUUUAAAUUUAUUAUUGUAGUUCGGAUUGGAUUUUUUGUCAGAAAAAUAUAUUAUUGUGGGUUUUAUGUAAAAAAAUUGAAUUUGAAAGGAAUAAGGUCACAUUUUCAGUAAAUUUUAUAAUAAUAUAUUUUUUUUAAAUAUAACUUAGCGCAACGUCAAGAUGGAUCGUUUGGGCAAACCAACUUUGCGCGACGCCUGAAUGUACACAAAUGUGUUAAAAUUUUUGGCGGUUUAAUUGUAAAAAAUAGGCGCUUUCUUUAAAUUUCCCAAAUUUGGACAAAAUGGAGGUGCAAGCCGUGCAAUUGGAAAACAGUCGGUCUCUCUUCCCUCUCUCUCACUCGGUCUCUCCCUCUGUCGCAGAAUCGAAGAGGCCGAACGAAACCCUAAAAACCAGGUAAGUCGUCCUCUCCUUCCACCUCCCCAAGCUAUCUCGCACGGCCUCUCACCAGUCACCGCUCACCAAGUGGCCAAUCACCAUCUUUUUCCCCUUCCAUUCGCGUCCUCCACCACCAAACUCCCAUUCGCGUCGUCCUCCAUCGGUUUUCUUUCUCUCACCAUCGUCUUCCACCACUAGCUGCUAAGUGCUCACUUCGCCACCCCAAUCUUAAGGUAAGACAAUUUGUUGAAUUUUUUUUUGCAUUUUAUAAAUUAGGGUUUUGGAUUUUGAAUUUGCAGUUAGGGUUUUGCUUGAUACAUGAUGUGAUUCUGUAAUCAAUUAUUCAAAUUCUGUAAAUGGCCGCCAUAUAUAUAGGAUUUUUGUUUUAAAUAAAAUAAUAUUUUUAAAGAACAUUUGAUAGGCAGAACCAGGCUGGCAUCCAUGGAAAAGGGUUUUGCUUUGGUGAAACACUGUGUUUCCUUUAGGAUGAGUUUUGCUUGGUUGCUAAGGUGAAUUUGGCUCUUUUUAAUUUAUUUUUAAUUUUGAGAAAAUAAAAAUUUCACAUCUGAUAUUUGAAGCCUCGCAUCACAAUACACAAAAUCCUGGGUCUCUCUGCCCAUUUCUAUUUGGUUUUGCUUUAUGUCCUAACUUUAAUUUUCACUUUCCUAACUUCGUAUUAGUCAGAUGAAAAACUAAUUAAACUUAUUCCUAUUUUUGAAUUAGAGGAGCAGCUAGAUUUUCCUGUGCUGUAUGCUUCUGCUAAAGAAGGAUGGGCUUCCACCACUUUCACCAAAGAUCCUCCUGCUGAUGCAAGAAACAUGUCACGGCUGCUUGAUGCCAUUAUAAGUCAUGUUCCUCCACCAACAGCCAAUCUUGAUGCAACUUUUCAAAUGCUCCCCUGUAUGCUCUCCUCUUCCCCUUUAAACUGGAAAUAUGCAGGUUGAGUCAAUAUUAAUUAUGAAGUGCUUUCACUUGAGAUUUCCAUGUGCACAUUUCAAAUUCGAUAGAAGCCGUUGUUCUUGAUUCUUCGUAGAGAAUAAAAAAGUUCUAAACAAAGGCUGUGUUCUUACUUUCCUAUAUUUUGUUCACUAUGCACUGCAUCUUUUUGUCUUUUGUGUCAAAUGCAGUUAAGUUUGUGAACGUUUUGGCGUACUUUCAUUUGUAGUAGUCUAUAAUUCUGUGACUGUAAAACCUGUGUCAUCUGCACUGGCCUGGUAAAACAAACUGGCCAAACAAUUUUAUUAUUUUUUUUUUAAAACUCAACGGAUAAAUGACUAAUUUUUGUAUUUUCCUCUCGUUCAUUUUAUUGUUCAUAGUACUGGCAAAAUUAAAAUAGCAUUUAUUGAUGUUUUUGUAAGGUUUCUAUGAUGGAACGAGACUUCUACCUUGGACAAAUAUUGACUGGAUGAGUUUCUUCUGGCACCAUUCGCAUUGGUGACAGAGUUCAUGGGCUUCGUCACAAAGAUUCUGGAGUUGAGAAAAUUGAAGAAGGGAAGGUUUGUGGUUCUAUAUUUGCCUCAUGGUUGUUAAAAAUCAAGAAGUUUUCUUUUGCACUGGACAAUGUUUGAUUCUUUAUGAUAGUGAGAUUUUACCCAUGUUGGGUUAAAGCUCUUGUAGCGCUCACCAAGCUCUUGUAGCGCUCGCCAUCAGUUUAAAUUUGAUUAAUUAGAUUAUUGAGGCUUCUAGCUUUAUUUUCUCUGACUAAGAAUCUGAUAUGAAAAAACAACCUCUGAAGCAUCUUCGUCUCUCAGAGAACAAUGAAAAGUUUGAUAUAUGUGAUCAAGUGCUGCAGCUUUUUACGUUAUUGAAAGGCUCAACUUCAGAUUGAAAUGUUAAAAUAUUAAAAUAUUAAAAUACUAAUUUUUUUUUUUUUUACUUCCAUCUUCUACAGGUUGUGAAGCUGAUGAAAAAGAAGGGAACACAUAUGGUCGUAAUUGAAUGUGCUGGAGCUGGUGACAUAGUGUCAAUGGCGGGGUUAACAAGCCGCCCUUCUAUUGGCCAUACAGUUGCAAGCGUUGAGGUAUAUUAAUGCAAUCUUGGUUUUAGACUUUACUUUUAGUUUGUCCGCAAUUCCUUUUCAUUUUAUUUUUCUCCUAUUUAUUUUAGUAAAUAUGAAUUAUAGCUUCGUUGUAUAUUUUCCUGUAUCCAUUGUACUUCUGUUCCUACCUUGAGAAGGCUCGAUACUGGGGCUCUCACUAAGUUGUCAUCUCCCCUUGUUGUAGGUAGCCUAUAUCCAUUGUGUUUUGUCUGUCAAAUUAGUUGCUUUGAUAACUUUAGCUACUUUUGUCUCAAGAAGAUGGAAAACAUUAUGAUCUGUAUUUCUUAUUUUGCCAUAGUAUUUUAGCAUCAUUCCAGGGAUUUUAACUUUUUAUCCGUUGCUUUUGAGAAACUUUGUAUCUUUUUAUAACAUGUCAUGGUGGUACAUUCUAUGCAAAACGGACUUAUGGUUACAUCUAAUAGACUAUGACUGCAUUGCCCACAGUUGUGUUGGAUCCACCAACUAUUUCCAUGACUUUUGGUGUCAAUGACUCUCCCUUAGCUGGUCGUGACGGUACCCAUGUAAGUCAUAAUUUUUUCCUGUUUGCAAUCAGUUAUUAACUUAUUAUACUGCUCUACAUUUUAUCAUCAAUGUCCGUAUUUUUCACUGAGCUGUUUUCUUGUUAUAGUGGAAAACACAUGCACUUUAUUUCCUCACUUUGGUUUAAAAUCAUUGAUUUAUGAAUUAUCUGUACUUGAUGCACGCCUCGGAUAAAGUGACGGAAAUUAUAUGGACAAUGUAUAUGGGAAGAGUAGAGAUUUGACAGUUUGUAUCAUAAUUCAUUCUUAUCAUCUUUUUGUUUUCCUAAAUUUGACGUGAGUAGGGUUUGAUUUACAUGUCCUAAAUUUAAGUUUUUUUCAGUGUAUGGGGAAGGUGCGGGUUCGUGAGACGGGUGCUUCCUCUCUCAGAUCGACCACAAGACAGGCAAGCCCUGACGGAGGAAGUGGCAACCCUAAAAGGUCAGCUUGCGGCCCAAGAAGCAGCUCGGGAAGCCGAGAUUGCAGCCCAGUUAUUGGCCCAGGACGAUAAGAUGAGUAUGAUCUUACGAGCCUUACAGAUGUCCGGCCUUCAAAUCUCGAUGCUAGCACCUGAUUUUGCUCCACCUUUGACCUCCCAGCCAGUUUGCCCUGCGAUACCCAGUAGCCUGAUGCAUUAAACCGAGACGACUGAUUGUAGUUUUUUCUUUUAUGUUCGGACAUCUUUUAUGUACAUUUUCAUAUAUUUUAUAAAUAAAUGUUUUUUCUUGGUUUAUUAAUUAUUGUUUAUAAUUUAGGCUUAAAUGUCAACAUGGUCUCUGUGUUUUACUUUAUUGGUCAAUUUAGUUCCUAUGUUUUCAAUUUGGCCAAAUUAGUCCUUGUGUUUAUAUCCGUUAGUCAAUUCAAGACAAUCCGUUAAAUGAUUGUUAAAAUUGACACGUGCUAGGCACGUGAGAGGGCAAAAAUGUAAUUUUAUUGUACACCCACUAAACUAAUACAAUGCAUAUCUUUAAGAAUUGAUGCUUUGUUUCACCCAAUUGAAUACUAUGUGAUUUAGGGUUCAUCCAUUAGGUCAGAAUUUGUGGGGUUGUCGAUUGAGAUUUGGGUGACUACUCUAAAGAAGAUGCCAAGUAGACGAAUUGAACCAAACAACCAAGGUGAUGAUCGUCAUCGGCUUUCAUUAUUAUUGGGGUCUAGGGUUUGAUUUGUUGGAUUUGUUGUGUGCUUUUAUAAUCAAUUGAGAUGGCUUGGUAGAUUGGGUAGGAAAAUAAGGAUAUCACUUUACUUGGUUUUUAUUGGUUGCAACUUGUCUUAUGAAACCAUGACUACCAAAGUUAGCUCCUUUGAAUUUAGAUGCUUUUUUCUAAUAACCAUAGCAUUGUGUAAUCGGCAUAUGCCUUUCUUUAAUAAUAAUGCACUAGCCUCUCUGCACGCACUAACGUGCGUGCGAGAGGCAUUUUUGCAUACGCGCCUCUAAAUGUAUAUUGUGUUAGUUUUUUUUCCAUUGUAAUUGUUAAUGUAUAUGCUUUAGAAAGUACAGUACCAAGUAUGGAGGUGAAUGGUGAAAUCUAGAAGAUGGCUGCACAUAAUUGGAAGCAAUAAAUUUGAAGCUGUUUACGUAAAAUUUUUAUCACUUACCAAGUUUAACUGUUAUUUUAAUAUUUUAAUCUAGAAGAUGGCUGCACAUAAUUGUAAUUGUUUUUAUAUUUUUCCCUUGACUAUUAUAGUUGAACUGUUAUUCCAAGUUUACAUAAAAAAUUUAUCACUUACCGUUCCAGACAUAUUUCUUUCCUUUCUUUUUUUUGUUUUUUUUUGUUUUUUUUUUGUUGGGGUACUUGUUAAAAUGUUGGUCACUGUGGUAAAUAUAUACAAUCCGAAUGUUGAAAUUGUUAUAGACAUAACAGAAUUAUUAAGUGGAUGUUUCCAUUGGUAGUACGAAAGGCAAUGACAAUGUAAGAUAACUAUUCAUUCAAUCUUAAUAGAUGUGUCUUAAUAAUUUGUACAAAAAUAUUCAUACAACGUAUGAAUUUACAAAUAUAUAAUUAAUAGAGACAAAAAAAUAAGAAAUCAUAGUUACCCACCGAUGUUGGUCCUAUGUCAUCUUGGUUUACUUCCGUUUGAUUUUGUACUAUAUUUACUGAGUUCAAUCGUGUUUGAUAAUUGGCAUGUCGUCGCAUUAAAAUUUGAGCCCGCUGUGAUGAAUUCAUAGAUUGUCGUCUUUGCCUUUGUUGAUUGCUCCUAUGAUAACUUUGAUUUGACUGUUGAGAAUUUUGAACAUUUGUUUGUCCGAAGUGAAUUUCUUCAUUGUCGACCGACAUUGAGAAAUUGCCAAAAAGAAUGAAUUUUAUUUUAUUUUUGAAAAAGAAGAAAAAAUAGAUCAUCUCUACAGAAGAGGAAUAAUACAGAUAAGGUAAGAACCUCUGACAUAUUGCGUCUAUCAAUUCCCUCCAUAGUUGAUAUGUUGAAGUCCUCUGGAAAUCUUAAAACUGAAAUUUCAAUUUGGAUGAUUCUUAAUAAAGGUAAAAUUGAAGGAAAAUAUGGAAACAUAGCAUUGAAAUUCAACAAUGGAAAAUGAUGCUUACACAAAUUAGAUCAUAGUUAAAAGAUUCAUGAAAUGUACACUAUCGAAUUGACAGAACACAUGGGGAUUUCGAAAAGGAAAAAACAGAAUAACACAAACUAAUAGGACGGAGCCGAACAUAUACCACCAUAACCAAAAUUAAGACAGUAGGCAUUAACCCAUUUGCAGAUCCGAUUGAGCUAAUUUUCCUGAGCUUCAACCACGGACCCAUUCAUGAAUCCCUAAAUUUACCCAAUCUUAACAACUUGAAGAAUUUAGUACAAAAAUUUAACCGAGCAGUAAACUUCGAAAGCAAAAAGAGUUACGAAAACAAAUAGAAAACAGAAUGGUUAACAUACAACAAAAUUUGUUGCCUCUAGAUUUGCAAGGAAGCAAAAUCUUCAGCUGAUGCAAAACCUAUGUCGUUUGGUUAAUCACAAACGUUUCUUUUAUUAGCAAUCAUCACAAACGCCGACAGAAAAAGACAACUAAAGGACAUAUUUCUCACCGCAACAUAUAAAUUGAGAAACAAAAUGGAACAAAUAUAAGUUAGAAAGAGUACAAAGCAAGAAAUAAUGAA
rnacentral:lncRNA from 1 species